rnacentral:lncRNA from 1 species
AUGUCUGAACCUUUGUACGGGGCCAUAUUCCCGGACCGACGAGCAAAUCUUGAGUCCACCAGAUAGUACUUCUUGAGACCUGGGAGUGGCAAAUGAAUGUCCGACAAGUGGAUGGCACGCGUAAGUAGUCAAGCAUAGUACAUAUUCCAAUUUUGCCCUGCUAGCACAAACAUGAAACAUAAAUUGAAAUCACAUGUAGCCAGCACAUUCUGGGUCGGCACUCCUUUUCGUCCUAUGAAGUGCACACGCUCAUUCCACAAUAGUACCGCUUUGACAUGCGUCCCGUCUAUAGCACCAAUGCAGUCUUGGAACAGUGGGUGCUUGUACAAAAUCGGCCUACGUGGCGAUAAACUUUCGUUGUAGUUCUGACUCGACCGUAUCAAACGCGCUUACAACGAAAUGACAGCGCAUAGGACCUCUUUUACAUAGUGACAGAUGGUUUGAAGCAGUGGUUGAAUGAUGUAUUCACCUGACGUUAUCCCUUCCCGUGCGCUAAUAUGCACAGAAACAUGUCGACUUGCUCGUAGAUGUCAACCUGUUGACUACUGCAUAGGCCAUGCUCGUCCCGUAAAAUAUGUGCAAAAUGUCGUAGCAUCGGGGAAUACAUACGAAAUUCUUGAAAGCACAUCUAUCCAUUUUCGCUCAUUGCCUCUAGCAUGAACAUGUCACCGUUCCUUGCAAAUGGAAAUCGCUGGAUACAACGUCGCUACAUGCAAUAGUACUCAUGUGCGUCACUCCCAAUGAUUUUGCAAUAUGAAACCCAUGUCGUUGCAUCUACUGCUAAAGAAGCUAAGAAAAAGUCAUCUUCUAGUUCGUCCUUCGCAUCAGAAUGUAGCUGUAUAAUGCAGCUGAAGUUACACUCAUUCGCAAGGCCAAACAUUUGGAACAACGUAAAAAGGACAGCGUGUGUGAUUUAAGCAGUUACAAGCACUGUGACCUCCUCACAACACCUCGAAAGCUCCUCACAUUACUCCUUCCUACUUGAUCCAUAUGACUUUAUAGAACAUGUGCAUGCCAAGUACCAUAUCACAUGCACCUACUCCUUGGUGCCUGCAAUUUUAACACACUGUGGUACCGCAUUUUUUAACCCAACAACAGUGCCUCGUGAAAUAUGCGCAUGGUGGAAUCUGAUUCUUGCCUAAACUAAAAAGUGACUUUUGCACAAAGUGAUAGAACAAUGGUGUCUGCAAAAUUAUUCUAAUCUUCAUCCCGAACCGGAGAAACAAUCGUGCACACAUCCUAUUGCUAUUGCCCUCAUUGAUGUUCAAGCUGAAAAAUAAGCCACUUGAACUAUUAUACUAAAAUGGCAAAGUCAUUGCAUUUGAGCACUCACUGUACCAAAGGAGAAUCCUAUGAUUCACCAGUUUCAGAUAUCAAAAUAAAGAAAAUUAUUUCAGGUAACCUCCUAUAUACAUAUAAUUUUAAUUAGAUACAUAUUGAUAAAUGACAUUAUAUGAACUUCAUGGAAAUUUAUUUAUUUGUUCACGAAACAGAGUAAAAUAAAAUCAGGGAUCAAUAUAUUAGUACCGUUGAACAUACAAGCAAAAUAAUAUAAUAAACUAAUCUAAGCACAAUGUGCAGGAAAGUGAAAGCAAUCUACCACAUGUUACAGGCACUUUUACCGUGUACCUAAAGGCUGUUAAAGUUUCAGCUCUUAGCAAUAUUUUUGGAAAAGGCAUGAACAUGCAUUAGAAAGGUAAAUUAUAAUUAUGAAAAACAUAGGAAACAAGAGUGCAAAAAGCACAGAACAGAUAAAUUUUCAAGUCUAAAACAAAGUGUACAAUUUUUGUAUUGGCCUGCAAUUGUGUAACCUUUCAAUUUCCUGCCCACGAUUUUCUCCAUCUUUCUAGUCGACGGAGAAGAUAAGGAAACAAUCCAUAUAUUUCAAUUUAUCCCUUGUAUUUGAUUAGAUUUUCAUUGAAUUGAAUCGAUACUACUCAUCGAGAUGGGUAAACAAAAAUUAAUAGGAAGAUAUAUGUCUCGAGCACAAAAUUAUCAAUUUACAUCAGUUCUACAAAUUUGGCAGGAUAGGGAAAACUUUGGAACAUGACAACCUACUCAAGGGCAAUUAGGCCACAAAGUUGUUCAUGGAAAAGCGUUGUUUUUUAUUUUUUCUUGCCUUAAUUGAGUGCCAAACGCGGGAAUAGAUUCACCAGCAUCUACCAUGUUCGAAGUCAUAAUGAACAAAUGGAUUAAAGUGCAUGGAAAUAUUACAACAAUUUUCGUACAGAUAGGUCUCAAAAAUUUAAAAAAAAACACACAAUCACUGGCAAAAUUACUUCCCCCGAUCGUUGAACAUCCACUCGAUCCACUCAAAUUUCUUGUCCGCGUCUUUCAUGAAGGCUAGCAUGUCACGGUACCAGUUAAGGGCUAGAAGCUGGCAUGUGAAAAAGUAAAGAGGUGUACGCCGCUCAAGUCGACUUGUCGUUAGCAACUCUUCGACACAGUUCGCGCCAGGGCUUUCAUUUGAAGCCAUCAUCGUAUGAAUCUUCACUGCCACUUCCUCCGUCGCACUGGUGGCACGGUCUACUGAGAAGGAUAGUUCACGAGCAGACAUCUUUUUCUUCCUGCCCCUCCGCUGCCCGCUGGAAGACUUCUUUUUACUGUCGCCUGUGGUGCUAGAAACGUUUUCACGGGCACCGACCCUAGUCUGUUCAGCCUCGUCACUCGAACCACUGCUCUCGUCGUCCAUCGGGAUUGCAUCCCUAUUGUCCUCGAGCGCACUAUCCUCGUAUAGGCUGAAUCUCGUUCUGCACAACUUCGUUGGAGUGACAGCGUACUUGUCUGCAUCGUAGCUGUCGUCGAAUAGCUGACAGUGUUUUAUAUAUAUCUCGCUGACGUCUCUGCCCUUGAAGUCUUUAUAGUCCUUGUUCUCCUGCAUAAAUCGGGACCCAUAGUGAGAGUACCGGAGGAAACGCAACUCGAAAUGUAUCAAAAACAUAAACAACCGCUAGAGAAAAAUUAAUAUUAAGUACGAAGUAAAAGACACGAGCAAGUCAGUUCAUACACAUGAGAUGGGCACUUUAAAGAGACACUAUGAAAUUUUAAAUGUAACUAAUUCAACAGAACAAAUGUGGAAAAAAUCCUAUCUUUUUAAGAUGUCUAAUGUCUGAUGCAAAUGUGAAGACAAUAUUGAGAUAUUACCAAAAAUCCAAGUAAAAAGGGAAAGAAUAUCAAUUUAAAGAGUUGGAAUCCAGGAAAUUCAUAUUUUCUUCCCACUAUCUUCCAUUGAAACAAGUUGAGCAUUAAUGAGAUACUCAAGCUUGCAGUAAUACUAUUCUACACCAAACAACAGGUAUACCCAUCACUGAUGAUGAAGAAAAUCUCAGAUACUAAAGUUUUCUACAAUAAAGAAUCAACGAUUGAUAGUAUAACAACAUCUAUUCAGCAUAAUCUGAAUAAAGUGUCUUCUCCCUUGAUGCAGCCGUCAACUUAAAUAUGAAUUUUAAAUAUUCUUCCCCUCAUACAUGCAUUUUUACAGUCUUAAACCAUAGACUUAAAGAGGUACUUUAUCACAUUUCUUGUUAAUCACCCAGGUCGGUCACCUAUCAACAUUGUUGGAGGAAAUCCUUGCUCGUCCAUUCAAGUUAUUACUUGACAUGAACAUGAAAUCAAGGCAUCACCUCAAAUUGAAAUAGCAACUGGGAUAUUCUUACAAUUACUAAGGGAGAAAAAAGAUUGUACGAGGUUGCCUCGAUGCUUGGAGAAAUGUAAAGGGGCAAAAGGAAAAGACUUUAUGAUAACUCGAACAAAUGCCAAAAUUAAUGUUUGGAUUUAUGGCUUGCACACAUGAAUUUGUAUUCUUAGAAGCAGCACAAAGCAUUCCGUACAUUGUGCAAGAAAACAAGUUCAGUGAAAAGGACAUAUAACGAAUACUAGACGUUUGAUGCUAGUUUGGGCAUUAAUCUAAUGCAGUAGUAUUUUCAUCCACACUCACAACACUUGCCAUCAAAACAGAUAAAAUUGAAUAUGAGUUAAAGGCUAAGAAGUAUAAUAAAGUUUUUGGUACAAUACAAUUCAGUUUUCAGACUAAGAUGUCGGAUGCAAAUGUAAAGACACAGCAAUACACCAGAAAGAUAGUAAGUGGGCGUAGUAAUCACACUUGCAGGGAAACGGGUCGUUGAAAAAUUGGAAAUCCAUUACCUUAAUCUUUUGGUUCCACCAUUCUUCAGAAGCAACGAUUCUGCCGGUUACGUCGUUAUACUCGAUCUCGUUGCUAUUAACAAGCUCUAAUAGACACUUGUAUGUUCGGCACAUUGAAUCCCAAUGAUUUCGUAGUUGUUGCUAGCUCUAGUUAUGGCCAAUCACUGAGUUGAAGAGUGAGGCAACCUGUUCCCAGUCGUGCUUGGUGAAACACCUCCUGUUCGGUGCCCCUCGGCAAUGGCGAUCUUGCACGCCACAAUGAAGGCUCGGGUGGUGUCUGGGCUCCAAUGAGCAUAUGACUUCGCGAUCGAUCAUCGUGAAGUCCCCGUCAUAAGGUAGGAAGGUCCUCUAGCAAGGUGUCCUAGCUGUGAAGUGGAAGAGUUGGUUGGGACGAAAACUGGGUGGAAGUGGAGGGAAGGAGAUUGGAGUAUUCGUACCUGUUACUCAACGUGAUCCAUUGUUGGUCACCGGCACUGUGUCGGUCUGGCAUCGUCGUGUAGCUGGGAACUAAUAGGAACUUGUGACGGUUGCUAUGGGACAUGUUCACAGUAUGGGAAGGUGAAAGUUCAACGGCAGUGCACGGGUUCUUCAAAUAUUCGGCCAGUGUAUUGGAUAGGUAGACUCUUGCCAGUUUCGGAGCUAAAGGUUGGAGAAAGAAAGUAUCGGUGGGAGGGGCAUUGUGAGGGAAAGAGAAAAAUUGAUGUACUGUAUAAUCACACAGAAGUUGUCAGACAAGUGGGUGGCAACGUUCGAAUAAUUAAUUUUGGGUAGAUGAAAAUGGCUACCAAACAGCCUCUAUAUGACAAGCUCAUAUACUGUAAAAAUUACCAAGUUUAUUUCUCUAUGGCGAGCCAUAGGUCUCUUCGAAAUGAUUAUUGUAUGACAAGCUCAUAUAUUGCAAAUUACCUGAGUUAAUUUGUCUAUGACGAUGCCAUAGGUCUCUUCGAAAUAAUUAUUAUAUAACAAGCUCAUAUACUGCAAAUUACCAAGUUAAUUUGUCUAUGGCGAGCCCACAGGUCUCUUCGGAAUAAUUAUUAUAUGACAAGCUCAUACACUGCAAAGCCAGCUUAUAAGUCUUCAAUAGUUCAAGACGAACCACUAGCUCGAUAGUCAUUGCUCGCUCUUAUAUAUAUAUAUAUAGAGCUUAUCAUGCCUAUGUUUCACGAUAUUAGUACAGCUGCUUAUAUUCAAUUUAGAGUCAGCCUCUGCAUCAGUAUGCAUCAGUAUCAAUACAGCUAUUUAUACAUCCAGAGCAUCGUCUAUGCUAUUUAUGUUUGAGGACUGCCUUUGCUAUCUAUAUUCAAGCACGGCCUCCUCUGCUAUCUAUGUUCGAACAUCAUCUCUGUUACUUAUGUUCGAGCAUGAUCUUUGCUACUCACAUCCAGAGCAUCACCUCGGCUACUUAUGUUCAAGCAUGGCAUUUGCUACUCACAUCCAAAGCAUCGCCUCUGCUACUUAUGUUCGAGCAUCACCUCUACAUCAGCUUAUCAUAGCAGCUUAUAUAUUCAUUCUUACGUCUACAUCAACUUAUCAUAGCGGCUUAUAUAUUUAGUCUUGUCUAGACAUCAGCUUUAUCACGGUAACUUAUAUUUCAAGUCCAAGCCGUAUAUAAAUAUUUGAUGCAGACUUGGUGGACUAUUGUGAUUCUAGUAUCUUAGUAUUAUGACAUAUCAUGACAUAUCACUGCUAGUGUAGGCGUCAUAUUACUAUUAGAAAGUAAGAAUGUCAUAUCACUGCUAGCAUGCUAUACAUUAUUUUCAUUAUAGCCAGUAUGUAUGCUAUGUUAUCAUCAUUUUCAUUUUAUUAUUGACAUCAUGUUACUUGAUUCAUUAUAGCACUACUAAUACACUGAGCUGUGCGAGCAUACGAUUUACUCUGAUGCAUGAUAGGCCUUUUGCAUAUUAUAUUUUGAAGAAAUGUACUUAAUGGUUAUGAGUAAUUUAAGGGGCAAAUGGAUCCCAAUUUAUUUAAUAUAUGUGCGGUGGAGAUAUUAUGUUAUAUUAUAGGUUGAUUUAGUCCAUAUUAUAGAGAAAGUGUUGUCGAAAUUUCGAAAAAUUAUAUGCAGCAUCUAUCUUUCGAGACAAUUCUUAAGUCCUUACUUAUUCAUGCUCGUGCACAAAUUUUUCGAGGCAAUUCGUAAGUCCUCACUUAGUGGAGCUACUCAUAUUUUCUGAGGCAACUUGUAAGACCUCGCAUAUUUAGUAAUUUAUAUUUUAAAGUCCGACCCGCACAUGAAUGUACGACUCAGACUUGGGGACUAUUGUUAUAUCCAUAAUUACGUGGCAUACGUAUGACAGGAAGAGUGCCACUUUGGCCGAUGUGGCAUUGCUUACUUAACUACUUAUAUUUCAAAGUCCGACCCGCAUAUAAAUAUACAACUCAAACUUGGGGGACUGUUGUUAUACCUAUUUCAUAUUGAGCCUCAUUGGACUUGGCCCAUUUCUUUAACCCACCAUGCCCGUCUCCAUUUAUUUUUCUUUAUAUACGGGAAUCAUUUCUUAAUGAAGGUAAGUUCUCUAACCCGAACCAAACCCACUUUCCCGUCUCUUGCACUCUUUAUUUUAUUUUCGUCUGGCCAUUGACUUGACCGUCGGAGUGCAAACGGUCACAGGAUAUUUUUUUCGACCGACUGCUUUUGCCUCCUAACAGGAUGUUCCGUGUGCAAGUGUGGAGGAGACAAGGUUGGAAUUCUGUUUGCGCAAUUUUUGAGGUCAACAUUAUUAUUAUUAUUAUUAUUAUUAUUAUUAUUAUUAUUAUUAUUAUUAUUAUUAUUAUUAUUAAGUCAAGUAGAAAAUUGCAUGCAUUAAUUUACCCUUGAGGUAGUUAAUUACCUCCUAGCUGUUACUCUUAAGAAAUAGAUAAUCAAAAGAGAGAAGAGUUAAUUGUUCCAAUAGUCACUGAAUUUAAGUCCAUAUCUUUGACUGGCCAUUAAAAUUUAAAAAUGUCGAGUUUUGGUUACUGAAUUUAGGUCCAUGUCUUCGAUUAUUUACUGAAGUGUAAAUGUCGAGUUUUGACCACUAAAUUUUGCAAAAUAUUGUACAUUACUCACUGAAUUUUGAAAAAUACUAUACAUUACUCACUGUAAACUCGAUAUUUUUCAAAGUUCAAUAGUUAUGUUAGUGAGUAGCGUACGGCAUAUUCCAAAAUUCAGUUGCCAAAACUCGAUAUUUUAAAUUUCAGUGAGCAAUUUAAGAUAUGGACCUAAAUUCAGUGAGCAACCGAAGACAUUGACCUAAAUUCAGUGAGCAAAACUUGAUAUUUUAAUUUUAGUAACUAAUCAAUAACAUGGACCAAAGUUCAGUGAUCAUUGAAAUAAUUAACUCAAGAAAGAACAAAUACAAUCAGUAAAUGAAAUGACAAUUUGUAGAAUUUAAUCUCUUUAAGAAUAAUGAAGUGAAACAGUUCUCAAAUUCAAUAUAUGAAAAGUGGAAUUUAAAUGGAAGAAGGAUAACAUCAUUAAAAUUUACAAAUAUUUUUUUCACACUAACAUACACAAGAACGUGUGGGUAUGCAAUGAUAUGCCACAGAAUGAAAUCCAAAUUAAACUUGCAUUCAAUUCCGAAAAAGAUGGUGGCAAAGUAAUAAUAAGAAAUCUUGAUACCUUCAAGUUGAGCAAGAGUCAAAUUCAAGAAAAGGAUAAAAUGACUACGAUGCGCCGUAUGAAUUUAAAUGUGAUCCCUUUUCUUUUUUUUCUUUUUCUUUUUCCCUACUAUAAAGUUUUUCUUUUGUUUUUGACUGUUACCCUAUGUAUCUAUAUAAGUAUAAUUAUAUUAAUUUUCUAAUUAUUAGCCAAUUUAAAUCUGGUCAAAAUCCCCAUCUCAUGGUUAGUGGUUAAUCAAAUUAGACUAAAUUUAUUUUUCCUAAUAAGCUAAAAGCACAAAAUAAUAUAAAUAUAUUGUAUAAUUUAGUAUAGGCUUACUAAAACUAUUAACAUAUUGAAUUUAAAUUAAUAGGCACGUCGAUCAUUUAGGACGUUUAAAGUACAUUUCAUUGCAAAAAUAUAAUUAGUCAUGACAAAAAUAAUUAUAUUAAUGAAACAGUAAAUGUAACAUAAAAAUAAUAAUAAUAAUAAUCUAGAUAGACAUGACAAUCACCAAAAACAAUUAGAAGGCAUCACAACUUAUUUCUUAUGUUUGUAGUUAUAUAUGCAUGAAUAUUUUGUUACUUGAUUGUUUAGCUACCAAUUAAAUAACUUGUUGCUUAUUUAUAGUGUUUGGAGAGUCACAAUAAGUAGAACAUUGCACAUUUAAUACACAAGCACUAGGUAUUAGGAAUGAUAUUUAGGACGUGUACAAUCGUGUGUAAUAAUCAUAGGAUUGAAUGCUAGCUUUGCAUAUAAAUUUAGAAUAGGAAUAUGGUCGGGUCGAAUCGUGCUAGGGAUAUAUUUAAUAUGUCUUGAAAAAGAAUAUUGAAUAUUAAUGGAUUAUCAAUUGUCAUGAACAUUUGAAUAACAUUAACUUACUUAAGUUGAGAACUGGAAAAAGAAACCAAUAUGUGGAUUUUGAAAUCCAAUACAUUUGUCUCAUUAUUUGAUAAAACUAAUAUUUUGUAUUAUUCAUAACUUAAUUUACGAUAAUAACAAAUAUCACAUCUCUUUUAUGUUACUAAAAUUGAAUUUUGUAGAAGUCGAUAAAAAAUAACUAGUAAUUAUUUUUCGUGGGAUGAUAACUCAACUCAUCAAUUAUAUUACUUGUCAACGAUUAUGUACGCUUGUGAAUUUUGCACGAACAAGGUCCUUUCAUCACUACACGACUACAAGAUAAAAUCCUUAUAACUCACAAUCAUUUCUCUUUCUAUUGACAGGACCAAGUGAAAUGGGUUUUGUUUUGACAUUUUUGUUUAAUGAUCAUUGUAGGAAUUUAGCCCCCAUUUGAUGCCAAUUGUUUCAUAGAAUUGAGUUUUGUAAUAGUAAAUUUUUAUAAGAAAAUGUGAUUAAAAGGUAGGAAAUAUUUUGUGUUUAUGUGCAAAUUAAAUUAUUUUAUAGUGAGAAUGUGUUUUAGAAAAAAGUGAGUUUUGAAAUAAUGAAAAUCAAACAGUGGCUUACAAAGUAGGAGAAUUUUUAUGAGUGUCUUGCUUAUACAAAAGCAGGGCCGAUCCUGAGACCAGAGAAGUAAGGCCAGCGCCUCAAGCCUAAAUUCUCGGGGGGCCUCAUUUUUUGCCCCAGUUUUUUUUUUUUUUGAAUGGAAAUUACAUAAAACUAGGCAUUUAAAAGUUCAAAUUCAAGGAUGAAAUUUAUCUAUGCAAACAUCAAGUAUUAUACAUAGUUAAUUCAACCAAUUCAAUUAAAAAUCCUAAUCAAAUUCCCUAAUUCAAUCCCGUCACUUCCUUUCUCACUCUUUAAUCUCUUCCUUCUCCCUAUAACAAAUCGCCAUAGGAGAUCAGUCACCGACGACGCCAGAUCUAAUGUGAGAUCGGCGUCGUUGCACAAAAGAAUGGUGGAGGCUACAAGGGGCACGACAGUGACCUCUGCCCAGGAAUGCUGCUACUGCGCGAAGAUGAGCCGGAAGAAGACGCCGCAGGAGAUAUGUCUUGCUCGGAUUUUUUGAGCCAUAGCUCAGAGCAACGCCUAUGACUGCGCUCGUCGCGAUACCUAUGGGCACUAAUUGGGUUAAAAAGGUGUUAUUUUGUGAUGAAAGCUCUAUGAAUAGCAUCGCUUCACGAUGGGUUUAGAUAUGGUGUGGUAGCGGCCGUGUCGUGGUGUUGUGUGCGGUGGUGUUUGUGGUGUGGUGUGGUGUGAUUUUUUGGCCUGUUUUAUUGUGUUUUUAGUAGUUGGUGGUGGUGGUGGUGGGCUUGUGGAUUCUUUGGUGGGGGUGGUGGUUGGAUGUGGUAUAAAUAGAGAUAGAGAAAAUGGUGGUGGUGUACCGUAGGUAGUGUGGUGGUGGUGUUGUGGGCGUGAUGGUGUGGUGGUGUUAUCGGCAAGAUGGUGCUCAUGAUGGUGGUGGAAGUGGGUAGUGAUGCUCAUGUUGGUGAGAUGAUGGUGAUUUUGGCGGUGAUGGUGUCAAACCGUUGCUGUGGUGUUGAUGAUGGUUUUGGUGGUGAUUGUUGUGGUGGCGGUGACGGGUGGGGGCAUUUGUGACCGACAAUUAGGCAUCUGCGACCAACUAUUUAGGCGUCCUUGAGCAAAUAUUAGAUGUCUGUGACUAAAAAAUAAUUUUUGACAGAUAAACUAUGAUAUAUGUGACCCAUAGAUAUAAUGUAACUUGUAAUUCGAAUGAUCCGUGAUGUCGAAAUAAUAUGUGAUUUACAAAUUUUUUUAUUUGUCAUCACGAAAUAAUUUUGUGACCAAUCAAUUUGACGAUACGUGAUCAGUAAAUAAAUCUGUGGCCUAUAAUUAUGAACAUAUGACCAUUAAUCGUGUAAUCGUGAUUUUAUUAUCUUCAUUUAAUAAAUAUUUUAAUUAGUUAAAUAUAAACCUGAUUUUUGAAUUUUAAAAGUAUCUAUCUGAUUUUUGAAUUGGGGUAAACUUAACACGUGAGAUGUGAACUCUUCCCUUUCGUGGUAAUAUGGUAUUUUGUGGCCCAUUUUUAGAUUUUUGCUCGCAUUUGUUUAUGAUUUAUGCACGAGUGACGUCAAACGUGUGUUGUUGUGUUUGAUUUCUCAUUUCUGAUGUCAGCACCAUUGUUUGUAGUUAAUUUCCACUUCAUUUUUUUUCUAUGAUUAAUUUUCGUGCAGAGAGCUCAGAGAUGUUAUUUUUCAAGUUUUUGACUCAUAAUGCCUUAUUUUUUUUUUCUUUUGUGUAAUAUUCUUCUAGAUCUCUGGACUUGGGUUUAUCACCUUUGGUUUUAGCUCGCAAUUUAAUUCGAUUUAAAAGGUAUUUUGGGUUUUGAGUGUAUUUUUUUAAAGACUUCAUUUUUAUUUUAUUUUUAGUAGUUUCUGUUUUGGGCAUUUGACAUUUAUGAUUUAUUUGAUUUCUUUUCUGGAUUUAGGUAGCUUGAAUUUAUUGAAAUAGUGGUUUUUUUCCGGGUCAGUUUUGGAGUCCCAUAUUAAUGAUUUAACAGAAGCGCCAUAUGUUGAAUGUAAUUGGGGGAAAGAAAAUAAAGAAACACGCAUUCAGGGUGAAACUCCACAAUUUUUGUCGAAAUUCUACUUCUCAAGUAAGCACUUGCCCCAAUUAAUUAUUUGAAAUAUUGUUGAUUUUGAUAGUAUAUAAUAUAAAUCUUUUCUAUAAUAUAUUUGGUUGUUGUUUUAAUGUCAGUUUUUUAAAUUAGCAAAUGGUCGCAUAAUACAUUGUUAAAUUUUGUAUUUACGUUGAUUUCGCUGAAGGGCCUAAUUUACGAAUUUCACCUCAGGUCUCGACAAUCACAGGACCGGUCCUGUGCAAAAGAGUGCAUGUUGAAACAUGGACCAUUUGAUGGGCUCUAAGGUUUCUCCCAAGUAUUCAAAAAUGUCACAACAUGUAACUUUGUAUUUGAUGCAUGUAACGGUAUCGUAUCAAGGUGGUUCGGGUGGAUCGACUUGAAAAUGGUCUAAGUAUUGGAUUGGCCAACUUUUGAAGGUGGGCCUGUCGAGUUCGGUACUUAAAGUCUGCUGGCUGGUGUAAAAUCGUCUAUCAGUAAACAUGGACUUGCUUGGCCCAUAAACAUGUUAUUUUGCGUAUUGACACCACUACAUACUAUAUGAGCGAAACCAUAUAGCAUGCAACUAAAUAUUUGGAGAGGUAUUGAUGUGCAUGUAUAUAUAUCUAAUUUGGAUAUUAUUUUAACAAUUGAGAAAGUCACAUGUACUAAUGUGAUUGAACUCAUUUCCAUAUAAUGAACAUUAAAGUAGGUUCUUAGCUUUAGCAUUUAAGGACAAUUUUUUUUUUUUUUUUUUUUUUGGUCCUCUGGAUUUUAUGCUUUUUUAGGGCUAUUUUUAAUGUGGUUAUUCAUUUUGUAGAGGGUGUCUCUUAAAAAAGCUCCUAAGCUAAAUUUAUUGAUAAUAACUAGAGAAGCAAAGUUUAGGAAUCAAUCCGUUCUCUAAUUCAAUGCUCCUCUGUUCAUUUCUUAGGUCACCUCUUUCAGCUUCCAAAUAUUCGUCCAUUUUCUACAAUCAGGGCCUAUCCGGCCUUCACAUUUCUCAGGAAUUUUUUGUUGGCGUUGUCCUGGUUUUGGCAUGUUGGUGCAUUUUGAUACCACUACAAUAGAGUCAAAAGGAUCGACUUAGAGAAACUUUUAGAUAGAGAUGUAUAGUUAGAAACAAUCAUUUUUAGUAGUUAGACUUGUUUUCUUUCAAAUUUUUAAUAGAUAGCUAUAUCCAAAUAUAAUUCAACCUACCUUAAAACUGAUUUCAAUGUUGUUCAAUGCCUUCUAAUUGUCUUACCAAUCAUGCCAUAAACGAUAGGGUAAACUGAUUUCUUGGAGCAAUAUGGGGUUGAACUCCUCGAUUCAUUUGCACAUCCUUUGGGGAAUGGGGAUUCUUCACCCCAAGAGCCAUACAAUACAAAAAUUUUGUAAAUCUCUUAAAUUCUAAGGGUGCGUUUGAUUAUUAAUAUUUUUAAUGAAAAAUGUCAUUUUUUAUCCAGAUUCUUACUUUUGUUCUGUUUGAUUAAUAUUUUUUUUUAUGGAAAAUAUUUUUUUCUAUUUUUAGUUACAUGACCAUAUAUAUUUUUCUUGAAAGCAAGAAAAAUAUUUUCUUUACGAAGAGUAGAUUUUUAUUUUUCAGAUAAUUCUCUUUCAUCUACCUCAUCAUCUCCCUCAUCUACCCACCAAUAAAAAAAAGGACAAGUAUAACAUUUUAUAGGUUGAAAAUUAAAUUAAUCAAACACAUUUAAUUGAUAAUUUUCAUGCAAAUAAGUUAUAAACAAUUUAAUUGCCUAGAAUUUAUUUUUUCAUGUAAAUUACAUGCUUUUAAACAUGUCCAUUUAACCUGUUUUUACAUGCAUAUUAUCCAACUUGACAAUUACUUUGUACCAAACAUGCUCUAAAUAAUCGUAAAACUUAUAUUGCAUAGCUGAAUAUUUAUACAAUUAUUUUUCAGAUGCAGAGAGUCUGAAGUUUUCUUGGAGGAUCCAGGGGAGGUUGACGUAUGGAGAGAAAUUAAAUAUGUUAGAUGAGAAAAUAACUGUUAGCCCGUGUAGUUCUUAUUAAUCAUUACAAGAAAAAGUGAACGUGAUUUAGUUUGGACGGUUUGUGCUAUAUUUUCAACUCAAACCAUUUUGAUGCUUUUUGGAAUUUUUUGAAACCAAACCAAACCAAACCAUUUUAUUUUUUAAACCAAACCAAAAGUAAAUCAUUAUAUGCGUUUGAUUCGAUUUUAAUCCGCGAUUUACCUAUGAAUGGCAUGUUUUCUCCACCCAAAUUAUUCUUCACAACUAUAGAUGUAUGUUUUCCCAUUCCACAUACCACCGUACUCUCAACAGUAACGAAGACCGAAAAAAUACAAUUUUUGAAAGAGAGACAAAUGCUAGAAAUUGUUAAAAAAUCGUGAUGCCAAUUCUAACAAUGCGAAGGUCAUGAUUCAUGAAUAUAUUUACCUAUGUUUAACAAGUUACCAUAUCAAAAAUGAGGAUGCAGUAGUUAUUCUCUUUUCUUAGGUAAAAUAUAAAGUAGAUAUGACAAAGAUUUCAUAAUUAGCCUUGUUUCACAAAAAGCAUAGGUAGAUGUAAAAAAAUUACUUACUUCAGCAGCCAAAAGGGAAUUGAGGUAGUAAUCAAAUCCUGGGUUAACAGCAGCAAGUUUUAUCGACAAACUGAACCAUUUUGAGAUGGUUCGAUUCAGUUUUGCUCGAUUUUUGAAAAUCAAAACCUAAACUAAAUCAUUUUAAAACGGUUUGACUCGAUUUGAGGGAAAAAAAUCGCAUGUCCCUUGAACCCGAACAAACAAUUUCAAACCAAUGGAUUCAAUUCUGUUCGUGGUUAUACGAUUUUUUUGUGCUGUUACAAACUGCAUAGGAAACAGUCAUUUGCUAUCCAAAUCAAUGGCAUAUGCAGAUUGAGUAGACUUCUUGAUUCAUUUCCAUUUUUUUCCCCCUAUUUUGGCUACUCAGAGUCGGGUACAAUCUAAAUUCCUACAAGAAGUGCGUUAUGCAACUUUGUUUUAGUGUUUCGAAAAGUGUCAAGGAUGUAAGUAAUAUUGGACAAUUGGCCAGUAACGAGAUUUUAACUUUUUCUUUCCUUGUACAGUCAGUCACGAUCUAAUCCUCCCGAACAGAAUGAAGUUUCAAGGGAGUAAAAACCCGUAAAACACUGAUCUUGUACGAAAAUCAGCUACACAUUCAGAGGCCAUAAAGAGAAGCAAAUGGAAGUUCACAUCGCUCCUAGAGAGAGAGAGAGAGAGAGAGAUCUGACCUGCAUGAGUAUCGGAAGAAAAUACCAAGAGAAUGAAGAAACUGCAGAGAAAAAUGAAAACUUAUCGCCUUUUAAAUAAUACAUGACAUUAAAUACUGUAUACAUAUCAGAAAAUGCUAUUUAUAGUAAGAUAAACACUCCCCGGCUUCGUUAUUUCUAUCAAGAAAGUGUUUGGCUUGAAAUUUGAGCGAUUUCGAGUAGAAUUUUGUGCAGUGAUUGUGGCUUUGAGAAGAAAGGACAAUGAUCACUGCCCUUAAUUUUAAAGACUCCUUCAGGUGGAUUUUCCCUCACAAGUUUUUCUUGAACGUCGGGCGAUAUUACAUGAUCGUCCAGUGUUUGAAUGUAAAAUUGCCGGCCAGUUCCAUACUUCUCAGGCGAGAGAGACAGUGCCUCCAUCAUGGGACCAAGAGGGGUCAGUCGCAUGGAAACCAUUGCCAAAGCAACAUCCUGAAAGCAACAAGGCAUACAUCUCAAUAGGCAUCAGCCCAAAAAUAAAAAAACCCAUGAAAAAGAAAUUCCAAUAAAUUCAAGGUCGACUAUGUGAAUACAUUUUUUCUUUGUAGUCUAAAAUCCAUGAAAAAAGAAUAUCAUAUGAUCCAAGGGCAAAAUGAUGGCCAGUUUUAUGAAAUCCUUUUCGUCUUUCCAGUUUCUUGUGACUAGAAACAUCAUGAUGGUCACCCUCCUUUAAUAUCCAUGCCACAACCCGACAGUCUUAGAACAUCAUUUCAACCAUCUAACGUAACGUGUUUUUAGUUAAACAAUAUCAACGCUGUUAAGAAAUAUAGAAUUAUUUAUUAAUUAUUAAGGGUAGAAUAAUCAUUUUUAGUUUUCUUUGUUUAGCCUAUAUAUAUUCUCUUUGUAUUUAGGUUAAAUCAUCUUUUAGCAUUCAAUUAAUGUAGUAUCAAUGAAAUCCUAGCCUCCUCCUUUUUCUUUAUUUUCUUUUGGAUUGUUUAACAUGGCAUCAGAGCUAGGUUUCAUGGGACAAAACUUAAUCUCAAACACAGCUUUCGUGGAUGGGGGAGAAGUUUUAUUUAUGGCUUAAAAUCUUUUCAAUUCACCUGGAUCAGGGGGAUCAGGAAGAAAGUCGAAAAGUCUUCUGCAUAAAUAUACAUUCGUCUCCAGUUUUUAUACGGUGCAUAUGUUGACAUGCUAGUGUAUUAGCACGUGCAGCAGUUCCUUAAACCACGGAUAGAAAUAGUUAAGAGAGCUUCCAAAACUGGCUGCUUGAUUCAAAAAGUACCUUUGAAGGAGAUUGAUUAAAAUAUAAGCCGUGCAUUUGCUGCUUCUCAAACAUGAACCCUGUGGGAAGCUGGUCUUUCCCAUUCCCAUAAACUAGAAACUUCGACUCCUGUAUGAAAAGUUCUGCAGACCCAAGCUGCAAACCAGAAUUUUAACAUUUAGCAUUUGUUUGGCACACAGUAUUUUGGCAGUACUAAUGAGUACAAUGGACAAGAUUUUAGCUUAUUUUUCUUUCUUAAUACUAUUCCUCUGUUGCCUAGUUCACCAUACCAAAUACAUCAUAAUGGUCAAAAAAUUAGGGACAACUGUUUGUUAACAGAAGUAUUUGGAAGUUCAUAGAAUGAAAUGUAAUUUUCUGUCCAAGCUCGGUUGGGAUCAACAACCUCCGCCAGCACAAAUGUUGUGAAUAUUUUAUCACCGUAUAGGGCUAAAUGGUUAAAUAUGAUUUGCAUCAAAUUAGCACUUUUCAGGCCCAAAACUUUUAUGCGGAUUGGCUAGAGUAUACCUCUUCUGCAAAUACAUCAAAUGGUCUCUGUCUGUUGGAUAUCAUCGUUGCACAAAGGAACACAGCUUUUGAGAUCUUCUGAGGGAAAUGCUCCAAGGCAUAGGAGCAAGCUCCUCCACUGCUAUGAGUCUAUGACCAACCAAUAUUACCUGCAGAGAGAAACAUUAUAAUAAUAGGGCCUACGAAAAAUAAUGGGGGAGUGAUUUUUAAGCUGUAAGCAUGUUUGUCUUAGCUUAAAAAGUUCAAUUAUAAGUAAAAUAAGUAUGUUUUAUAAUAAAUAAUUUUUUAUUGGUCAAAGUUGGAAAUAAAGAAGUUAUUUAUUUUCACAUUAAGAUAAAGAGUUACAUUCAAAAACAAUAAUUUAUUCAAACAUGUUUCGAAGUAACUUUUACUUUUUCUAACCUUAGCCUAACAUACCUUUCAUGAUCAUCAAAUACCUUUUCAUCUUCUGGUAAAUUUUGCAGAUAUUGAAUCAAUGGUUUUGAGUAGUCUGUUAGAGUAGUGAUGUUGUUAGUGUCUUUUAGAUCAAUGCCAGAUCCUGUUAGAUCCAAGGCAAUCGGUAGUAAUCCUGCUUCCUCGAGCAGCACAAUAGUUUUAUACCAACACCAUGCUCCAAAUCCUUCUCCAUGUAUAAAAACAAAUUUCUUUGUUUCGAUAUUCUCCAAAUAAUCUGGUAACUAAUAAAACAUGUAUUUCAGUUAACAAAAACGUGACUGGGGGGAGGGGACGGAAAAUAUUGUUUGGAGAAAAGGAACACAGUGACUCAUUACUUGCAAAGCCUAUUUAGCGUACAAAUAAAAUGAAUAAUUAAGCAUCAUUUACAAUCAUACUAAUGUUCUAUGGAUCAUGAUUAUGACUCUCAUAAGCCUCAAAGAUAUGUUUAGAUGCACCAUAACAAGUCACGUAAACACCUUAUACACAUCUAAAUAAUUACCAAUCAAUUACUUCUAGGGAGAAGGACAAAAUGCAAACAAGGAUUUUUCGCAGCUAACAACUUCAGGAGAUAAAGAAUAUGUGAAAAAUGAAUUUACUUUGCCGUUAUCAAAUUAAGUUUUCUUUGGUUGCCAACAAGAAUUAACAGUCUGUUUGGGAGGGAUAUUUUACCCCAAAAAAUUGAAUUUUUGACCGUUAUUUCAUUAUUUCAGCCGUAAUUUUUGAUUUAUUCUCUCACAGGUGGACCCCACUUUUCUUUUAACGAUCAAAAAAUCAACUCUCAAAAUCCCUCCCAAACGGGGCCUAAAAUACUUUCUAUCUUUUGUUAUAUUCAAGGGGAGAAAUUAUGCUACUAUUCAUUCUUCUUUAAACCUACACGAAACCCACAAAAGAAUAUGCAUUAAACAUCAAUAAAAGUAAAUAAAGAACACCCACACAAAAAGCUCUCCGAAAGACUUACUAAAAUAAAGGAAGAAAAAGAUCUAUCGCCCCAAAUUUUUCUUCUCACCUUUUUCAAACCAUAAUGAACCUUGACCUCCCUUUUCAAACACAAAAAUUUUCAGAGCUAACUUAAGCGACAUGAUCACAAACUAAAUAGAUAAUAAAAUAAUACCAAAAAACCCAACUUUUCCCCCUACGGAUACUAAUCAUUACUCCACCAAAACGCACGAAGAAAUACUCUACACAAAUACAAACAUAUACUAUUACUUAAAGCUAAUUGCUGCAAAGUAUAAAGCAAACAUAAUAGCAGUAUAUAAGGAAAAAACCUGUUUGGUAUUAGUAUUUGAAAAGUGGUCGGAACAAUUGGUGGCGCGGCGGCGGGAGCUGGUGGAUCCAAUCCGCCGUGACAUGGAUCCAUUACUGUUAUCAAAUCUUUGGGACAAUUGGUGUUGCUGAAUUGCCAUAGCCAGUGCCUGCCGAUGAAGCAAUUCUUCUUCCAUUGAACUCCUUCUCCUUGACAUUGACCCCCGUUUGCUUUUCGAUCCAAUCCCAACAUUCUUACUUUCUUUCUUCGUCAUGCAAAUAAAUUUAUUCCCCAUCUUUAACAAAUUACUGGAUUUGAGCAAAGCCCUGGUUUUCACUUUCUUCUCUUAUCACCAAAAAAGACUGGAUAUUUAACAAAGCCAAAUUUUAUUUUCUUGAGAAUCGCCAAAAGGACUUAAUUUCGAAAAAAGCCCAGAUUUUAUUUUCUUGAAUAUCACCAAAAAGACUGAAUUCUGAGGAGCGAUAAAGGAAUUAGUAGUAGGUGGUGGUGGAGAGUAGUGGAAAGGGGUGGCUCUAUAUAUAAAUUAAAUGUAGUGAGAAGAAAAUUUGGGGAACGAAACACAGAAAACCAGCUCAACAUCUGCAAAUGAAAGCAGCAAAUUUAUUGCCCUCUUUUUCAACGUUUGUAUUCUUCCUCACUGACUCCCAAUUAAGACAUAAUUAUUUCUUUCUUGUGUUACCUGCUCAAAAUCAUUUCAUAUUUACCCCAAAGAAAAAUGUGUCAAUAGAAUCUGACCUCAUCCUCUCCACUGAGCAUAAUUUGCUAACUGAACACCUCUAUAGAAGGCAAAGGUCAUCCAAAGAAAAAACAAUCCGAUGACUAUUUGAAUUUUGACGAUCAAGUUAAUGGUCGGACGAAAAUAUAAGAGGUGCAAGAGACCAAAUAGGGGAUUUGGUUAAGAUUAAAAAAAAAAAAAUCAUAUUAUGGAAUGAACACACAUUUAUAUAAAGAAUUGAAUGGGCCAAGUGGACAUGAUGGGCCGAGUUCCAAGCCCAAAGAUAAUCCUUGAUUAAAUAGGUAAAAUCCAAAUAAACAAUCGAUGUUGAGACUAUUUGUUAAUGGGGAAGAGGAACCAGGAAGCAGCGAAACUCGAAAGAGUUUGAGAUGCCCCAACUGGGCCAUAUUAAAAAUUCUCUGGUAAGUGAAUUGUAAUUCCCAAGGGUCUUCAACAACUAAAGACCGUAGAUUCUUAAGGCAAUAGGAAGAGGAAUUUCAUUUUGAUAUGUGACAGCUAUGUACUUGAAAUUAACUAUUUCAAGUAUUUCAUCAGGAAACUUUUAAGCUCUAUUUCAACCAUAUCUAAUAACCUUAGCAGUCGACAACCAAAAUAAUAAUUAGAAUACAAAUGAGUAUCAUUCUGACCAGUAUUAUAUAUACAAGCACAGAAAAGUGAAUACUCAUACUUUGCGGCAAAGUUUCCAUUUUAGAAAAGACGCGUAGAUACCUUUUCUUCACAUAGAGAAUUUCCUUUCCUGAGCUAUCCUCACACAGAGGUCCCUCAGAAGACAAUGCAUGAUGCAGGCUUUAACUUUUCCAUUAAUAGACCAUUUUUUAUGAACCAAAAUAAGAUUUCUAUCAAUAAGAUCCCCAAGAUAAUCCUGUGCAACCUCUUCAAAGUGUUUAGAUUCAUGUGGAUUUCAGUUAUGCAAAAUAUGUCCUUGAGUCUUGUAUAUCGGAUCGUCUCCUUUCAAAACCUUAAAAUCAUUCUGUAAACAUGCUAUCUACUGAAAGUAUCAUCUAAACUUAAAGAAAGUAAUGACAAAAAUUGGUACCAUUAUAGAAGAGGUAAUGAAGAUUAAAUAUGUGAGAGGCGAACAAAAUCUUCAGCCAAGGAAUUUUUUGCCAUCAAGACUUGGUCCUAGUGACCAGACCCAAACUAAUAUGGUGGGAUUUGCUCAAAACUUGCAGUUGGACCUGCCUUAUCCCUACACAUCGAAGGAAGUUUUUGAACAGAGUAUUCGGACGUCAAUUGGACCUGAAUUUAAUCCUGUCAUAGCAGUUGGAGCUCUUAUUCGUCCUGAGAUUCACUUUUAGAACAUUUGUCUUCUUUUCUUUUCCAAGUUUUCUUCUCUAAAUCUUAUUGCAUUCAUUCUCCUAUGGUCACUUGCAUCUAUCAAUGUUGAAUAUAAAAAGAGCUUUUAGUUCACAGAAUGGAGCUGUUGAGAAAAUUAAGAGUAUGUUUGGCUAAGCGUAAAAUGUUCACUUGUAAGUUUGCACUUUUACUUAGUUGUUCUAAAUAAAAUAUGCCACCAUGAGUGGUUUUUAAUUGAAACGAAGAUGAAAAUAAAGUACUUAUCGUUGGUCAAAGUUGGAAAUAACUCUUUUUACUUAAAAAUUAAGUUAAUCAAAGGAUAUGUUUGUAGACAAAAUUUUUAAUCAAAGGAUAUGUUUGUAGACAAAAUUUUCUUACUUUCAAGCUUUAACCUGGCAUGCUCUAUGUUUCAUUUUAGCACAUGUAGCUCACGUUUUGGCUACUUAUGGACAGGUGGUAAAGAGAGCUGGUGUGAGCAUCAAACAUAUCUAAUUUCAGGAUGUUAAUCCCCAUGAAAAAGUGUAAAACCGUAAGCGCAAGAGACAAAAACCAAGCAGUGGUAAAGAUAAGAGUCGAUCUACGAAAAAAUGAAUGUGAAGGAGAUAGAAGCAAAGUGAUGCUGAAAUUUUGGCCAAACAAUAUCACAAUCUGAAUGUUGUGCUUAUGUUUCUUUGUGUUUUUCAGCUUUGAUAUUUAUAUUUAAAGAUAUGCCGAGAUGUUUCAUUUUGGCUCUACAUUAAUUAUUCCACGUCAAUCAAGAGGAUGUAAUUAUAGGGAAUUAAAUUACUAUUAUUUUGGUGAUUUAUAUAAUUCGAAGGUUCGGUCAUGGACCUCUAUGUCAGUAUGUUGGCCGAGGCAAUGCACUUGUGGUGUGCGCUUUUGGCACUGACAUGAGGCAAGCAAUGUUUAUUUACUUGAUGACGACAUUGCACGUUGUAUAAGGCGGGGAUGGGUUAUAGAUGUUGGCUUGUAGGCAACAUGGCAAGGUCGAAUUCUAGCUAGCUACUCAGCUCAUUUCAGUCCUCAUUUGAUGCAAUCUAAUUGCUGUUGUACUAAAAGGUGAAACCUCAAUGCCAUAAAUUCUUCGACAGCCCCAUGUGACACCAUCCUAUAUAGUCAUUUUGUUCAUUCUGUUUUGAAUCCUUGCUGGCCAAGAAUCAACAAAUUCUUGACACGCAAAACUCAUCCAACCAUUACAUCCCACAAAGAAAUAUGAAAGGUAUUGCCUUUCAACAAGAUCACGGCAAGAUUGUCAACAUAAGGCAAAUUAAUGAACCGAUUUUGUGAAGGCUCAAUAGCAGGCAAAAGGAAACUUACAAAUUAAAUAAACCACGAAGCCUUUAAGAUGUGCAGCUCAGAAGAUAUCAAUAGUUAAAUUGAACCCUCUUGCAAAUGAAACAGCACAGUUCUCCAGUGUCUCCGAGAAAACACCACAUUCAAGUUGCAAUAUUAUAACAAUUGACCACCAUAGGCCAAAAUCACAACUGUACCCCCCAGGAAAUUUGCACUCUAUCAUGUUACGAGAACUGUUAUAAACAUAAGGGACUUCAACACUACCGAUUCUCAUUCUAAAGCAAACAGAACAGAAUAUAAAUACAAUUGCAAAAUCAAUUGGAAGUAUGUUGUCAAGUUUUAAGAUGCGGGGAGAUUGGCUAGCCAAGGAAGCAAAUUCUCGUGCACUAAGUCAGGCCUGUCAUCAUGAGGGCAAUGACCAACGCCUUCCAACAAAAAGAGGUUCACAUUUGGCAGUCGAGAAGGCAACGACGAGAAGUAUUUACCAACAGGUCCAUCAAUCGGUGUAAAUGGAUCUUGAUCACCCCAUAACACGAGGACAGGUAAGUUGAUUUUCGGAAUUAAUUGCAUUGGAUUCGGCCCAGGGGGGCCAGUUACAAUGGAAACAAAAGCAUCAAGAGCCCCUUCAUCUUCUGCUGGUUUCUUAAUAAUCUGCAUUUAAAGAUAAGGAAAACAAAUGGAGUAUCAAAUAGAGAAACUGUACAGGGCGGGUAAAAUUUAUUCAGAAUUUAGUCGUACAUCCACAAGACCCUCAUCGACAUUAUCCUUAUUGCCAUAGACGGAUGACAAGAUGUUCCUCAGACUGUCUCUGUACAAUUGACAUAAACUUGUUAUAAUUGCUUAUAAGCUGGUAAGUUUUUUUUGUUUUUUUGUUUUUAAUCCACAUAUAACACAACUUUUACUUUUUAACCACACAUUCUUUGGGACUCCUUGCUUAUAAGCACUUGAAACCUUACCCAGCAAGCACGAUCCUCUUAUGUGAUGAUAACAAAAACAUACUUAAGCAGUACCUUUGUCUAACACGAUCAAACAAAUACGAUGCAAUCCCUUUUUGCUUCAAUAAGAAGUCGACAAACCAAAGCAAAGGUAACAGUAGCUUUAUCCUCCAGUCAUCAACAAUCGCCUUGUUGUUCAUGCCGCCAGCACAAUUUAACAGAACGAGCCCUCGAACUAGGGUCCUAGUAGACUCUGUUAGGAAUGAAAAGGUAAAAAGCACAACCGAGCCAACAUCAAUUAGAGCUAAGUAGUUGUCAGCAAAGGCAUAUCUGAUAGGGAGGAUUGGUAGCACUAAGAGUCGAGUUCUAUCCAAUAUAUAGCACACCAACGUACUCUAAAUGUUUUACAAAAGAGUGGAUCAUUGUUUGGCUGGAUGUAGCAGAUUAAUACAUACCUGCAGCGGCAAUUACGCAAGCAAGACUUCCAACAGAGUUCCCCAUUAGUAUCGCCGGCCUUUGAACAAUUUCGUCUAAGAAGUCCAAUAUCAUCUGUCCACAUUAUAAUAUUGAAUAACAGAAGGCUUCGUAUAGUGAAUAACUAGUUGAGUAGAAAUCCUUCAUAAAGAAAAUGGUUGAUAUCAUUUGUUUACCUCAGCCCAUACUUCCAUGGAAUAUGCAAAGCCCGCUGGCUUAUCUGAAGCACCAAAACCAAGGAGGUCAAUGGCGUAAACUGUAUAACUUUGAGCCAGAGUCGGAAUAUUCCUAAAAUGGCCUCAAAGGCAGAAAAGUAGGAUUUAGUUGUUGGUUAAAACACCAAUACAUCACAAAACUUUCACUCGUACUAGUAGCAUUAGGUAACUUCCUUAAAAGAAUCAUAUUUCACAUUGGUGGAGAAGUUGGUAAAUUAAAUCAACUAGACAAGGCAACAAUUAACGAAGGAUAGCUUAAAAGAAUUUUUUUAGUUUAGAUUCACAAAUUAAGUCUAACAGUGGAAUCCUAGUGUACAACGACGUUCUUUUUAACAAAGUUGUACCUGUAUUAACAUUGGAUGGCCUAAAAAAAAGAGAGACAUGGAUAAAAUCUUAAAAACAACACUUAUUUAUUAGGAAUGGGAACUAAUGAUUUCAAAAGCACGACUUGUUAUUGAUUUUUAAAUUGGAAAAGAUGAUUGUUGGAAUAGAACUGCGCUAUAUGAACAUAAUGCAUUUGGAAAUAAUGUUAAUCAGUCCAGAAAAAUUUUGAUUGCGACUACCAAAAUAGAUCAGAAAAUUUAUAAGUCAAGGAAGUCCAAAGUUUGUGGCGUUGCCUUAAAAAUUAGAAUUAAAGAUCAAAUAAAAGCAGGAUCAUUGACACAAGUGUAUUCAAUGUAUAAUUAAAAGUAAUUGUUGACUUUGACUUAAAUUCAAAUCCAAAGUUUAAUCCUUACCAAACAAGGACUAAGUCUUAUUAGUUAUAUUUUUUCACUUAAUAAGCAAUUUAUACAUAAAAAUGACUUUUUGUGUUAUAAGAAAUUUUUUGGUCUAUAAGUAAAUUUUUUUAAUUAUUGUAUUUCUCAUUUAUAAGAAAUUCUUUUUACGUAUAGGUUUUUUCUCUUGUAAAUUAUUCUUUACUUCUUAAGAUGACCUCCAUUAGUUUUAAACAAUGUGGGUUGAAGACUGUCAAAAACCACAGCUUUGGUGGACAUGUUUUGGAUGAAUUUUUUUAAACCAACCAAAAUUAGUUCUCCAAAAGCUAGAAUAGAAGGCAAAAUACCUUACUUCUGUAUACUCAAGUGAGUAGAUGUUUGCUCAAAUGAAUUAGUCGUCGGAGAUUCAAUUGAUUAUUUGAAUACAGACAUUAAAAAAAAUGACUCUUUCAUGAAGGAAUACAUCCAUUCGUACAAAAUCGUCUCACAUCACAUAUGUUGAUAGUAUUCAUCUUCCAAAGCUUACAAACCUAAAAUCUAGAUUCUUAUAUUGUUCCAUGUUUCUUUAUGAGUUUACUUCUUUGUUUGGUGCAAACUCCGCAAGGAUUGUAAUUUGUUGGCAAUAUUUUCCAGUAGAUCUCAUUAGAUAUCUCAAGAAGAAGGGGGAAGGGGGGAUAUCGACAUUACAUCAUGUGUUUCAAGCCUCCUCAUACUUCAAUUUUUUCUUCCAUUUUUUUUCUGGUCUCCAUUUCUCCUUCUCCGAAGUUGUUUUUUCAAAACGUUUAGCAUUUUUUGGGAGAAAUUUUUCAAGUGAAAAAUAAUUUUAUAUGUUUGGGCACUAUUCCUAACUAUCUUUUCUUCGUUAAUUCUGCCUACUCAAGCCUGAUAUAUCAAACAGGCUAACAGCGUAUAGAUGCAUAUGCACAAAUAAACUACAUACUGUUGUUAAAGCUGAAAAAUAAAAGAUUAAUACAACAAAAUCCCAUUAAAAAUAAUACCUGCGCCAAUGAGCAAUGGAGGCACCAAAACCGUGAAUUAGCAGAAGAGGCGGAUUUGAAGAAUCAUUAUUGCCUCCUGGGUAAACAAAAUAGUUAAUGGUGUAACCUUUCCACACCCAUUUUUUGCACUUUUCAUUUAUCUCACUCACUUCCAAUGGCAACAACACCUCCUGUUAUGAGAAGAAUAAUAAUUAUAUAAAACUUACACUACUUCUCUUGACAACAUUUAUUUUUUAAGAUGCACCAAUGAGUCUGAUUAACAUAUGGUAUCAGUGUCCAAAAACUCAAACGAGCAAUUCAAUCAAUCUAAACCUUAAACGAGCAAUUCAACAUGUCUAAAGUUUAAAGUGGCAAUUCAAUCUGUUUAAAUAAAAUAUGAAAACAACAAAUUUUAAGAGUGAACCAAAACUCAAUACCCUUUUUUCAGUUGACGCAGAAGCAGUAGAGGCAUUAAUUACACUAAUGGGAUUCUUGAAUUUACUGUAGGAAGAAAUUUUGGAAAAUUUUUGUGAACUGCAGAUGGGAUUGUACUGUUUUGGUAGAGUAAUUGAAGGAGAAUGCGUUGGAAGGAAAAUAUAGGUUGCAGCAAGAUUUACUGCCGUGCCCAUCUUUAUUUACUAACAGAAAAAUGCAUGGAGAGUGCAAAAAUUUCAGAUAUUUUAUGGAGUUCGCAAUAGGGGGAUAAGGAGGAGGAGAAACUGGAACCACCAAAAUGGCACAGCCAUGACCUCUAAAUCUUCAGGGAGAACUGAACUACAGAAUCAUCCAUGGGGACCAAUCAUAAUUUGUGGACCAAAUUUAGUUUCGAUUUGAUUUUUUAAUGAGGUGGGUUAUCUUGGGCCACCUCUACAUUUUGAUGCCACUACAUGGAGGAGAGAAGUGAAAUCAAUUAAUUUAAUGUUGUUUUUUAUUAUAUUUAUUUUUCAUGAAAAAUAUUAAUUUUUCACCCAAAUUUUUAUUUGAAGUGUUUGAUUAUUAAUUUUUUCCAUGAAAAACAUUUUUCGUCUUUUGAAAAUAUGCAUAAUUUUCCUUGUUUUUAAGGAAAACAUUUUUCUUGGGUGGAGGUGAUUUUUAUUUUUCGCAAAAGAAAGAAAAUAUUUUCUUUUCUAAGUGAUAUUUUCCACGUCAAUUAAACAUACUCUAAAAGUUGGGUCAAAGAUCGAUCAUAUGUGUGAUACCUGGUGUCACUUUUACUCUAGUUAACUUUGAUUCGACUAGAUUGUGCUAAUAUGGUGAGAAAAUGGGGGUGUCUCUAAAUUAAAGGAAUAUUUUUGAAUCUCAUUCUCUAAUUCGUCUUUAAAGAAUUUUAGAUCGUAUUUUCUUUCUAUUUUUGUGAAAGGCGUGAACUUGAAAAUGUUGUAAGCUUCGCAUGUAUUUAUAUGCAUGUGUCGAAGUGAUCUACAAAUAUUCGUACUUUAAUUUUUUUUUAUUAUAUUGUUAUAUUUCAUAUUAGUAGUAAAUUUUGAGUAUUUAUAUAGACCAGAAUGUUAAGCGCUCUUAUCAUGUCAAAACUCAAUUACAAUAUUAUUUUCGCACAAUAUUUUAUAAAGAUUGCACGCUUAUUUUUUUGAAAUAAUAAAUGGGCAAAACAAAUUAAGUCCAUGUUUAUUGAGAAUUGAAAUUAGAGAUUUUGUAAAUUUUGAAAAAAAAAAUUGAUGAAAUAUAUCAUCGAAAAUUUAUGAAUAUUUAUGAUUGAAACCAAUGAUUGAUUUUGAUUAAAAUUAAAAUUUUAAUUUUAAUUCUUAACAAACCUGGACUAUGUUUAAAAGGGUACUCAUAUUUUCAAUAACAAUACUAUCAACCUGAAACAUCAAGAAAGCCGUUCUUUAAGUGAUAGAAUUUGAUAAAUUUAGGUCCCAACAGAAAUGGUCCAAACGUGGUACUGUGAGUGAAACUGUCUCUAGGAACAAGAACAACCAAAAUGUAGACACGUACAUUUCUACAACAACAUGCAUCAUUACACGUGUUGCAUAUUCAUAACCUACAGUUCUCUACGUGGCCACAUUUCAACUUCUUACAUAUCCCCAAAUUUACUUCUAUCUUCCAGUUAUAGAGACAGAAAUUAUUAGUUAUAGAGAACGAAAAUGAUGAACGUUUUGGCUUUAAGUCUUGUACUGACCACACUUGUAACAGCGGGUGUGUUUUCUCCAAGCCCACAAAAGCGCAAUCCAAGAGAAGAUGAUGUUAUAGUCAAAGAAGGGCAUAGAGUUGUGGUGGUUGAGUAUGAAAAAGAUGAUAAAAAUACCAAAGUUUCAAUUUCUCCUCAAGAAACUACAAAUUUUAAGGAUAAAUUGUCUGAAAAUAUGGAGGAUGCAAAGAAGAAAAUAAACGAAGAAGGAAUUCACCAUGGAUUUAGUCCUAGAGAGCUUGUGUGUGAUGCUUAUGGCAAGUGUAAGCAUAAAAUUGUCAGCGCCAUUGGAAAAACUAAAGAUACCCUUUCCGACAAGGCCCACGAGGCGGCUGAGACGGUCCACGAGGUGGAGGAGGAAGCAAAAGAGGCUAUUGGUAGUUUGAAAGAUAGGGUUACUCAUAAAUCCCAUGAAGCAAGAGAGUAUGUGAAAGAUACAGUUUAUGAAAAGGCUAGUGAAGUGAGGGGGGCGACGGAGAAGGCGAAACGGGGUGGUGCUGAAACUGCAAAGAAUCUACAAGGUGAGAUCGAGAGGAAUGGCUCGAGAAUAAUAGAUGCGGCAAAAGAAAAAGUCCCCGACAGCGCGAAAAAGGCAGGAAAAAUUGUGGGAAGUGCCUCAGAGAAAGUGAAGGAUAGUGCAGAAAGGGUUAAAGAAGAGGGGGAGAAAGGGUUGAAUCAAGUUCUACGGGGCAUUUUCGUGAGUGCGGCUCCGGUGAUGGGGAUUUUAGGUUUGUUGGGUUUAGCCACUGCUUAUGGAAUGUGUAUGUGGUUUACAUUUGUUUCGAGUUUUGUUUUGGCAGGGGCACUGCCUAGGCAGCAAUUUGCGAUGGUGCAGAGCAAGAUUUAUCCAGUUUAUUUCAAGGCCAUGACAUAUAGUGUAGGUCUGGCAGUUCUAGGACACAUUAUAUAUCGGACUAAAAGUUGGUCCUCAAUGAGACAGGAGAUUGUCCAAGGUUUCAAUCUCGGGGCACCUUUGUUGAUGAUUUUGGUGAAUUUUCUCUACUUGGAGCCUCGAUCCAGUAAGGUACAUGAUAUUACUAUUGGAUAUUGAGUUGUUUGUAUUUAUAAUAAUCAGCUUAUUGGUGCAUGUGUUGCUACUGUUUUUGAAUGACUCAACAGUACAAUAGUUGACACCUUUGGACUUGGAAUAAUGCAACGCAGGUGAUGUUGGAGAGAAUGAAAAAGGAGAAGGAAGAAGGAAGAGGGAAAGAAGGGUCGGCCAGCGGUGAUGCAGCAGGUCGAGAGGAAGCGGCACAGCUGAAUCAAUUUUCAUCCUUACUCAAUGUUGUUACGCUAAUGUCCCUUACCUGGCACCUCGUAAACCUCGGACAGCAUCUUAAUUCAGUCUGAUAAUGCUUAAACUGAGCAGUGGAAGGUUUCCUCUUGUAUUUUAGUUUUUCAUGUUAAAUAACCUAUAUUUGGUAUUGUUUGGAUGCUGAGAAUAAUAAAAGGGUAAAUUUCACAAAAUGUUCAUUUUGUCAUUUGCAAAAAUGUCCACUAUUCCAAAAAUGUCUAAUUUGGAAGGAUUUAGACCAAAAUAACAAAAAAAAUGGACUUUUUGCAAUAUUGUUAUUGGCCAAUAAAAUUUUGACACGUAAUCUGUAAUAUUUAUUUCAAAAAAGUAUACAUGUCAAAUCACAAUAAAUGUUAUGUUUUUCCUUAAUUCAGAAAUGUCAUGUCAAGAACGACAUUUUUAAAUGUAGAGAAUUGUUAUAUUCAAAAUGAAAUGUCAUUCUAGACAAAUGAAACGGUGUUUAAAUAUCGAGAAACAUUAUUUUAAUGUAACUUCUCAUGGAAGUCACUUUUUAAAAUUCGUGAUAAAUUGAUAAAAAAAUCAAAUGUCGAGAACGAUAUUUAAAAUGUUAAGAAUACAAUUUCAAAAUGUAGAUUCUUGGUACUAAAUUUCAAAUUCAAAUGAGUGGACAUUUUUCAACUCAUACCCUUAAAAUUGAACAUUUUUAAAAAUGUCCAUAAUAUAAUUAACAUGAUGCAAAAUAGUAAUGAAAUUUGUUAACCAAUACUAUAUAUUUUUCUUACCCUACUCGUCGCCUAUUUAUAAUUUAACUUAACGUGAAACCUGUUAAGUACACAUGUAAUUAAGUUCUCUGCCAUUGCACUGAAAUUGUGAUUCACGAAUCUCUGUCCCUCCCGCAAUAAAAGUGGCCACUUAUGUUGGAAGAUUUUUUUCAGACACAACGUCAAAUUAUACUUCAAUUUUAGCAAUUGAGUGACAACAUGUGAACCGAUGAGCAAUAUAGAGGAAAAUACUUCAGAGAUCAAUUUAAAUACUAUUAGUGAAAUCAACUCGUAUCAAAUAUUUUUCAUUAGUCUCCAACUCAUUUUCAUUUAAAUUUGAAAUCUUUCAAAUAUCUUCGAUUUUUCCUCUAAUUCUGAAAGCGAAAAAAAUUUAAUUUUAAAAGAGGUGAUGUAAAAGGUUGGAGUUAUGUAGUCGUCUUUUCAUAUUGUGUUUGGCAUCAACAAAUUUAAGAGCAUGUUUGGUACAGUUUAAAAUUCAAUUAAAAUCAAUUUUUUUUAUCGUUAUUUCACUAUUUCGGCCAUCAUUUUUUAAUUCUUCUCUCACAAUUAGGACUCACUUUAUCUCUAACGAUCAAAAAAUCAAUUAACAAAAUUUCUACCAAACAAGCACUAAAGUUAGGCGGUUCUCUACGACUAUAGCACGUGGACCAAUGAUAUCGCGAGAUGACUUUACAUCACACUUAUGAAUUAUUAUUUGAAGGCAAAUUCUCUCUCUCUUUCACUUAAAGGUUGUCCAAUUUCAUUUUGAAAUAAGAAAUAGAUAUAUGGCUAUCUCUACAGACAUUUCUGAUGAAGAAAUUCAAUUGCUGAAUUCAAACGCUAGUGUUCAAGAUUGUGUAGAUUACAAGGGCCUUCCAUCCAAUCGAUUCAAUUCCGGUAGAUGGAGAUCAGCAUUUCUCAUCAUGGGUAAACAACUCCUCUUCUUUGAAGUUCUCGUCAGAUUGCAUUUAAAACUUAUUUUUUUCUUCAAUUCAUUAGAUACUGAUCUCCAUCCUUCACCACUCUUCUUGCUUGGCUAAACAUAGAAAUAAAUAAAUAAAUAUCCCUUUAAGCUCGACUAAACAUGUUGAUUAACUUACUUUUUCUUAUUUUUGAUAAAGAGUUUAUUUAUGUUUUAUGAUUACCUUCUUAGAAUUGUGCUAUUUUUGUAUUAUUUGGUAUCAUCUUUGAUGAAACUGUGUAUUAUAACAUCCGUGAUAUUGAUUAUUUUAAAUGUUAUUAAAAUCAAGGACAGAAAUGUUAGCCACCUCACACAAUGUCAAUCAAACGGUACAUAUAGCAAAAUUGACUUUCUUAUCUUAAAAUAUGACUUUCUUAUCGUAAAAUAUUACUUAUAGGUAAUCUUUUAAGCUCGAAGCAAAACAACAUCAUUUUUCUCCCUACUAAAAUACUCGGUGGAGUUUUUAAAUUGAGAGUUAAUUAUACUUUUUUAGUGUUCUGAAAAGUAGCGUCUAAGUGCUGCCUAGGCACAAAGUGGGUGCAAAAACGCCUAGUCUGACCUUUCUUUCUUUCUUUCUUUUUUUUUUUUUUUUUUUUUUGGCUCCUAGUCGUGCUUUUUAUGCCUUCUCUUAACUAAAUAAUUUUUAGAUUAAUUUAAAAAUCAAAAUAAUAUUGAAAUAAGAAUAACGUUGUCUUACGCUUAAGACGAAGCUCGACCUCCUUACUUCGUCAUGUUUUAUCAUUUUUAGAGCACUGCUCUUUCUUUUGUUUUUUUUUUUCCUCCGUCCUCUAAUUUUUUAUUUUUGGAAGGCAGUAGGCCGUAGGUGGGAGUUGGCACGUCACUGGUGGCAUUGGUUUAUGAUCAUGUUUUGCAAAAGAACAAUUAAAAAUGGGAAAAAUUUGUUCGUACAAAAUUUAUCCCACAAAACAAAUCCAGAAAACUCGGGUGAGUCCCAUGUGAAUUUUAUAUUGAAACAAUAUACUCACCCACCCCAUAUAUUGUGUGUGGUCUGUAAUUUGUCUGGCAAAAUACUUUCUAAGCAUGAAGUGCAACUCUUAAAAAUGACAUUUAACUUUUGAGAAGGGUCCCACAAAUUGUGUGAUGAUUAAUGCUAAUGUACGACCUGAGGAUAAAUCGACUAGAUAAUCAGUUGUGUUCAUCUAUCAGAGAAGACAAUCUUGGACCGGUGAGCUUUUGGGGAAGACGAACGGGACUUUUAGCUGGGAAAUGGGUUGGGUUUCAGUGUUUCUCAUCCACAAAACAAAUCCAAAAAAAGGACAAUAAACUGAAUUUCACGUCCGCUAAUUGUUUUAUCAUUUUACCCCAUAUUUUCUGUUUGUACAUGUAUCAUAAUUCAAUCUAGAAUCCUAACAACUAGCUUAUGAAGUUAAAUAAGUUGAGAAAUCCCAACUUAUAUUAAUUUAUAAAUUGUGGGACGCACAAUUUUGUGAAUUUUGGAUUACAUAAUUUAUACGUCCUCAACUUAGAACUUAAUAUCUUUUUUAACCAAAUAUUAUUUGUUAUGCGUUUUUUAGAUUCGAUUAAUGUUACAUAGUAUCACAAGAGCUUAGCAUCAAUUUAGUCUUGCAUUGCAUGUGUAUGGCUUUUGUAAAGUAACAAAUUGGAUCCUCUAUUACAUGACUUAGGUGGAAGGUAAAGAGUGAAGAUGACCUCCUAGCCAUUGGUCGGAAUGCCUGAGCCGUUGUUGUGAGAUUUGAGUAUACAUCUUGAUAUCUUAUUCAAUUUAACUUGUCAAAUAUUAUAUUUAUCGAACACUUGCUACCAGUUUUUUCUUUUAGAAUUUGAGAAUUUAUUUUUAUUUUAAUUAUCUUUUUUUGGUUAGCUGUUGAAGUGGCAGAGAGAUUUGCCUUUUAUGGGAUAACUUUGAAUCUGAUAACAUACUUGACUGGCCCAUUGGGCCAAUCAACUGCAAAUGGGGCUGCCAGCCUGAAUGUGUGGUAUGGAACGGCAUCGCUUUUGCCACUUUUGGGGGCUUUUGUGGCUGACUCAUAUAUAGGUCGAUGCCGCACUAUUAUAAUUGCUUCUGCGCUAUAAAUUUUGGUUAGUAAUUCUUCUUCUCCUCCUUAAUUUAUUUCUCUGUUAUGGAAAUUUAAGUAGAUAAUUAAUUUCGUGAAAUCAUUCAACUUGGGAAAUUAGGGUAGUCCUCGAAUAAAAAUGAACCCAUUCAAUUGUGCAUUUUUGUACUACUGCUUUUCUGUUUUGUGUAACGCUCUCAAUCAGUAGUUUUAAUCCAUAACAAUCUUAACUUGUUUUUCUUUCUUAAUAUUAACGAGUCCAUAAACUGAAUUGUACAGGAAUCAUAAUGACUUUUACUUUGGGCUCAAACGGUGAUAGGGACUUCGCCUCUUGACCAUUUCAGCUAUUUUGCCUUCUUUCUACUGUGUUACACUCAAAAUGCUGCCAAUGCCAAGGAAUCAUGUUCUUCCUGGCUCCAAAUUAUAAUCUUCUACUUGUCGUUGUAUCUGGUUGCUAUAGUGCAAGGCGGACACAAGCCUUGCAUUCAGGCAUUUGGGGCUGAUCAGUUUGAUUCUCGGAAUCCCGAAGAGUUAAAAGCCAAGAGUUCAUUCUUCCACUGGUGGUAUUUCACGAUAGUUGCAAUCAAUACUGUAACAAUCUCGAUUUUGAACUACAUUGAAGACAAUCUUUGAUGGUGUCUCGGGUGUGGAAUACCCUGCAUCGUCAUGAUCUUAGCAUUGAUAGUAUUUUUGCUUGGAACAAAAACUUACAGGUUUAACAGUAAAGGUUAUGACAAUAGCUUGUCUGUGAAAAUUGGGUUGGCGUUUUGUAACACAUUCAGAAAUCAGAGUAUUAGCACAUCAGUAGCUGAAUUCAAGUAAGGGAAACAACUAUCUUAAGUAGUUUGUCCACUAGAGAUAACACAUUUCUUGACUUAUUUUCUCCGUUUUCCUUCUUUGGCAGGUUGCUCGAUAAAGAGUCCCUUUCACCCCGUAGUUUGGACCAAGAUUUUUGUAGUACCAAUAAAGUUGGAGAGGACAAGGGAAUUCCCAGGCUCUUUCCAAUAUGGGCAACAUGUUUAGUAUUCGCCAUUGUGUAUGCUCAAGUAUUCACUUUAUUCACCGAGCAAGAAGUUACAAUGGACGAAUCCAUUGGUCCAAACUUUAAAGUGCCAGCUGCUUCAUUACUAGUUUUCAUCAGCCUCUCAACUGUUAUCUUAAUUCCUAUUUAUGAUCGCAUUCUGGUUCCUUUUGCACGAGCUAUAACUGGGAAGCCAUCAGGCAUAAUGAUGCUUCAAAGAAUUGGAACUGGGCUGGUUUUCUCUCCACUUUCUAUGGUUAUUGUUGCUGUUUUCGAGAUGAAGCAUCUUGAAACUGCUCAAAAAUAUGGCCUCGUCAAUAUGCUAGAGGCUAUAGUUCCCAUGAGCAUAUGGUGGUUAAUACCUCAAUAUUUGUUGUUCGGAAUAGCAGAAGUGUUCGCCUAUGUUGGCCUGCAAGAGUUCUUUUAUGAUAAGGUAGUGUUAAAAUGUAAAUUUCUCAUAUUUUUUUAUCUACUUAAAUCUGUGUAUUCUUUGUCUCUUGCCUGGAACUUAAUCGUGGAGGCUUGUUUAUAACAGGUACCAAGUGGAUUGAGAAGCACUGGUCUUGCUCUCUACUCUAGUAUUUUCGGCAUUGGGAGCUUCCUUAACAGCUGUCUUAUAUCUACCAUUGAGAAGGCGAGUGGUGGACGAGGGAGAAGCGGAUGGUUUUUAGACAACCUUAAUAGGGUUCAUUGAUAAGUGUGUUUUUGCACACUUAUUUUGGUCACAAACAUGACUUAAAAAUGAGCAAAAUGAUUGAAUUAUGACUUAAUCUCAUACAUUUGUGAAUUGUAGGGAACAACGAUGAACAUGGUAAAAUUCAGGAGAAAAGACACGAAAAAAGACAAAAGUGACGCAAAGUGAAAGGUCAGCGACCAAAAGUGCAAAUAUCCAAAAGUUGAUCCGAUGGACAAAUCUAGAAAUCGAUUUGGCCAAUUACCAAUUGACGAUAUCGUGGGUUGAUGAAAUGAAAAGAAUGAAGCGAGGAUGCCAAGAAGUGAAGGAUGCAAGUGGGAGGACCAAAAUGCACAUCCGUCAUAGUAGAAAGUACUAUGCGACCGCAUAGUACUAUCCUCUAUGUGGUCGCAUAGUAGCAUACUGAGAACAAAGAUACCCCAAAAUUUUACUCUAUGCGACCGUAUAGAGCAGCUAUCGAGGAAAAAUUUAGUUUCCUGUUUCUUUCGAAAUUUUUAUGGAAACAAUAUUUCUAGGAUCCUAUAAAUACAAAAACUCGACCAGAACGUGGGGGACUCCAUUUUUACAUGUUUUUGGGAGAUUUUGAAGGAGAAACGAAGAAUAGAACAAGAGAACAAUAUCGCGCCAAGUGAAGAUCGGAUUGAAGAUUGAUUCGAGUGAUUUUGUUUCUACAAAUGUUUUUAUGUUUUGUUCUUUUUAGCAUGUUAGGCUAGAUUUAUCACUGCUAGGAGAUCGAUGAACCUUGUAAUACUACGUUUAAUUGUUGUUUUGGAUUUUUGAUGUAUUUGAACACAAGUUCUGGAUUUGAUUGAUUUAUUUCAUUUUUAUUUUUAUAUGAUUAUUGUGUACGUAAUUAUAUGAUUGUGGUGGCCUGUUUUAUGCAUUCGAAAGAAGGAAAAUAGGUUCGACAUAGUAUAAAUCAUCAUAGGGUCCGAUAGGAGAUAGAAAUAUACCUUUAUGCCUUGUGUGAAUCAUUGGAUAUUCGUGAAUUUAUAAUGUAUGUCAGUAUGUUAGUAUUCGUCAAAGAAAUAUAGUCGAAUCAUAUAUUGGGAUAGAUUUGGCAUUGCUCGAGAGAGAUUGUUAAAUUAAAAUAGGAAUAUCGAUUCAUCUUUUGUGGAAUUGUGCGUCAAAUUUGCAUAAUUGACAAUUGGACGGGUAUUGUUGGGGGAUUUGUGAUCCUAGUGCGCUAGUACAUCCAUUAAUUCCAUAAAAUUCUAGUUAAAUUGCAUCCAAGUUAUUUUGCACUUGGUAUAAUUCUUCAUUCAUAAUUGCAUCAAUGGUUACAUUUUGUUAGUUAAAGUACAAAACCUCAAUUUGGUUGUCGUGUUUCGGUUAAGGUCGUACUAGAUUAAUUUGAACUAAUUCAAUCCUCGUGGGAUCGAUACUUGGACUCAUAGUCCAUUUUACUACUUGUUAACGAACCGUACACUUGCGGUGGAUUUUAAAUCGGAAUAAAUAAUUUCUUGAACAAGUUUUUAACGCUGUUGCCGGGGAUUGAAAUUUAGUUUUAAUUUUAUCUUUUGUGACACUAAUUCGAACUUAUCUAGAUUAGUAAUAGUUAGCUUACUAGGUUUAGUUUGUUAUUACUUCAAUUUAAUUUUGUGUUGAUUUUACAAUCUCAGAGCUUGUAUACAAGGAGCACCUGAUCAAGAUUUAGUUCCCAUAGAGCCAGAGAUCAAACGCACAUUCCGUCAUAGGCAAAGAGAAGUAAGAGCAGCACAACAAAUGGCUAACGAGCAAAAUCGACCGGUAAUUCCACUUAACGAAGGCAUGGCAGUUGAAGAUGAUGGGAAUACAGUACUCGGGGACUUCAUGGCUUUGUUGGUGGCCCAAAGUCAAUCUAUCAUUGUAUAUCCUCCAUUUGGGCAACCAAAUUUCCAGCUGAAAACAAAUGUGAUUCAACUCUUUCAGAAUGGGCAUAAUACCACAGGAUGGCUAGUGAAAAUCCGCAUACACACAUAUCCCGAUUUCUAGAUAUGUGCCAACACUUUAGGUAUCAAGAUAUCUCGGACGAUGCUAUAAGACUACGGUUGUUUCCACACACCUUGCGGGAUAAAGCACUUGAAUGGCUGGAUUCACUUCCCGUCGCAAGUAUCACCACUUGGAACGAGCUAGCCCACAAAUUUUGCACCAAAUUCUUCUCACUAGCUAAGGUAGCCAAAAUGCGGCAUGAUAUCUCUAUAUUUAACCAAUGUGAGUCCGAAUUAUUUGAAGAGGCAUGGAAUCAUUUCAAAAAUAUGUUAAGGAAGUGCCCGCAACAUGGCUUUGACAAGAAGACACAGAUCCGAUUUUUCUACACUGGACUACUUCCAUCCUUUAAGAGCAUGGUGGAUUCAUCAUCUAACGGGUCUAUCUCCACAAGAACAAUUGACGGAGCAUGGGAGCCAUUUGAGAAAAUGGUUACAACUUUAGCCAUGUCGUCCACAGAUUGAGUAGUUCAGAAGAGAUCGCUGGAGGUUUAUGAAGUAGAUACUUAUUUAGCACUGUCUGUAAAGAUAGACUCUUUGUUCCAUAAGGUUGAAAGCAUUUCACAAACUGCCACUGCUAAACAAGUCAAAAAGCCAAGUUAUGAAGAAUGUGGAGCAAACCACAAUACUUUUAAUUAUCCAAAUCUUGCACAGGGGGUCGAACAUGCAGAUUUUGUGCAAUGGGGUCAACGCCAACAGAACAAUCGACAUUCGGAAACCUUCAAUCAGGGCUGGAGAAAACACCCAAACUUCUCGUGGAGCAAUCAGAAUCAAAACAGACACAAGGUCAAUAUCAGCAGCAGGAUAAAAAGCCACCAUUGAAAGAGAUGUUUGAAAAGUUCAUGGUAACAACCAAUUAGUAUAUUGAAGCCAACAACCAGUUUAUGCGAAAGACAGAUGCAACUCUUCAAGAUCAAACUGCAGCCGUCAAAAAUUUGGAGGCACAAAUGGGCCAAAUGGCAAUCUCUAUGACGGGUAGAGCACCAGGAAUCAGCCUAGCAACACUGAAAUCAACCCUAAGGAGCACGCAAAAGCUAUAACAACUAGAAGUGGAGUACAACUACCAGAGAUACAUGUAAAAAGAUCGGUAGCUAACAAGGAAUCAGCAGCAAUCUCAGAUGACGAAAUUGUAGAACAGAUCGAACAAACAACAAGGGAUGUGGUCAAGAAGAAUUUCAAUACAUCACGGGGUACAGCUACCAUUCCUAUCAACCCUCAUCAGCCUCCUAUUCCAUUCCCGCAGAGGUUGAAAAAGCACAAAUUGGAUCAGCAAUAUAGUAAGUUUCUUGAAGUCUUCAAGAAACUACACAUCAACAUCAAAUUUGCUGAAGUACUUCUUCAGAUGCUGAGUUAUGCAAAAUUUCUGAAGGAUAUUCUCUCCAACAAGCGAAAGAUAGAAGAACAUGAAACAGUGAUGCUAAUUGAGGAAUGCAGCGCCAGAAUCCAGAAAAAGUUGCCUCCAAAACUAAAGGAUCCAGGGAGUUUUACUGUACCUUCACUAUUGGGAAUUGUCAUUUUUGAUAAAGCGUUGUGUGACUUAGGUGCAAGUAUUAAUUUAAUGCCUCUCUCUAUUUUCAAGAAACUCGGCUUGGGAGAAGCUAAAGCCACAAUAGUUACAUUACAGUUAGCAGAUCGAUCCCUUAUACAUCCAAGAGGGAUCAUUGAAGACGUAUUGGUAAAAGUGGAGAAGUUCAUAUUUCCAGCCGAUUUUCUUAUCUUGGAUAUGGAGGAAGAUAAGGAUGUUCCACAUAUAUUGGGGCGACCUUUCCUAUCUACUGGAAGAGUGAUUGUUGAUGUUCAGAAAGGGCAGCUUAUAUUGAAGCUUGGCGAAGAACAAGUCUUGUUCAACGUGUUCAAGGCAAUGAAAUUCCCUACUGAGUCAGACAGCUGUUUCCAGAUCGAUGUAAUUGACAGAAUAAUUCAAGAUACAUUCCAGCUACAUCAUCCUUCCGAUGCAUACGAGGCAUGCAUUACAUAUUCUCAAUCCACUCACACUGAUUCGAAUGAGAUUGAAACAUGUGCACGAAUUUUGGAAACUAAUAUGCCAUACAUGCACAGAUGUUACUUCGAAGAGCUAGGAACUAGGACUACAAAGUCAGUGUCAUCUAUUCAGCAACCUCCCAAAUUGGAACUCAAACAACUGUCACCACACCUUCGAUAUGCUUACCUGGGGAAAUCAUCUACACUUCCGGUUAUUAUUUCAAGUACUGUUAGUGAGGUGGAGGAAGAGAAACUACUUUGGGUGCUAAGGGAGAAUAAAACAACCAUUGGAUGGUCAAUUGCAGAUAUCAAGGGGAUCAACCCGUCGCUAUGCUUGCACAAAAUUCUCAUAGAGGAAAAAUUCAAACCAAGCAUUGAUGGACAGCGGAGAUUGAAUCCACACAUGAAGGAAGUGGUUAGGGCUGAGGUAUUGAAGUUGCUCGAUGCAGGCAUCAUCUAUCCAAUAUCAGAUAGUGCAUGGAUCAGUGCAGUACAAGUUGUUCCCAAGAAAGGGUGUAUCACAGUGAUAGAAAACGAGAAAAAUGAGUUGAUUCCUACACGGACAGUGACUGGAUGGAGAGUUUGCAUCAAUUAUCAUAAACUAAAUGCUGCUACUCGAAAGGAUCACUUCCCACUAGCGUUCAUUGAUCAGAUGUUGGAGAGACUAGUAGAGCAUUCACAUUACUAUUUUUUGGAUGGGUAUUCCAGGUAUAAUCAGAUUCCAGUAGCACCUGACGAUCAGGAGAAGACAACUACGGUACCUUUGCAUACCGUUUGGUUUAUGCAACGCUCCUGCAACUUUUCAGCGCUGCAUGAUGGCUAUCUUCUCAGAUAUGAUUGAGAAAUUCAUCGAGGUAUUCAUGGACGACUUCUCAGUGUUCGGGUCUUCGUUUGAUGAGUGCUUGGAGCGUUUGAGUCUUGUGCUACAACGGUGUAUGAAGAGUAACUUGGUAUUGAAUUGGGAGAAAUGCCACUUUAUGGUACAGGAAGGCGUCGUGCUAGGAUACAGAAUCUCAACAAAGGGUAUUGAAGUGGACAAAGCAAAGAUUCAGGUGAUCGAGAAAUUACCACCACCUAUAUCAGUGAAAGGUGUUUGUAGUUUUCUCGUGCAUGCCGAUUUCUACAGAAGGUUCAUCAAGGAUUUCUCAAAGAUUAAUAAACCAUUGUGCUAUUUGUUGAUGAAAGAAUCCACAUUUGAGUUCACGGAUGAGUGUCUGUUGGCUUUUAACACCUUGAAGGAGAAGUUGAUUUCAGCACCCGUGAUCCUCACAUCAGAUUAGAAUCUGCCAUUUGAAUUAAUGUGUGACGCCAGUGAUUUUGCUAUUAGGGCCGUCUUGGGACAAUAAAGAAAUAAGAUAUUUCUCGUGAUUUACUAUGCAAGUAAGAUCUUGAACGACGCUCAAUUGAAUUAUGCCACUACAGAGAAAGAGCUCCUAGCCGUUGUCUACACCUUUGACAAAUUUCGAUCAUAUCUUGUGAGGUCAAAGGUCAUAGUUUACACAGAUCACGCUGCCAUCAGGUACUUAAUGGAAAAGAAGGAUGCAAAGCCAUGUCUCAUUUGUUGGAUACUGUUUCUUCAAAAGUUUGACUUAGAAAUCAGGGAUAAGAAGGAUAGUGAAAACGUGGUGGCGGACCACUUAUCUCGAAUCGAGGCCACAGAACAGACAGAGACAGUGGAAAACAAUGAAGUCUUCCCAAAUGAACAGAUUUUUGGUAUAGUGGAGGCACCCUGUUAUGCGGAUAUAGUUAACUACUUAACCAUAUCUAUCAUGCCGCCUAAUUACUCCAGUCACCAGAAGAAGAAAUUUUUCUCUGAAUUGAAAUAUUAUUUUUGGGAGGAUCCCAUUCUAUACGGGCGGGGGGCUGAUCAAAUUGUUCGUCGCUGCGUACCUAAGGAAAAAGUGUCUUUGAUAUUAGAACAUUGUCAUUCAUCUACAUAUGUAGGGCAUUUUGAUGCUUCGAAAACAGCGGGGAAGAUCUUUCAAUCAGGUUUUUAUUGGCCUAUACUAUUUAAGGAUGCUUUUGAAUUCGUGAAGAGGUGUGACCUAUGUUAACGCACUGGUAAUAUAUCCAGGAGAAAUGAAAUGCCUUUGAACAGUAUCCUGGAGGUGGAACUAUUCGACGUCUGGGGGAUCGACUUCAUUGGGCCAUUUCCCCCAUCCUUCUCUAAUCAGUACAUAUUAGUGGCUGUGGAUUACGUAUCGAAGUGGGUAGAGGCCGUUGCACUACCUACCAAUGAUGGGAAGGUGGUGAUUGAGUUUCUAAAGAAACAUAUUUUUACCCGCUUUGGAACACGGAGGGCUAUAAUCAGUGACGGGGGCAAACAUUUCUGCAAUCGCCAGUUUGGACAAUUGUUGGCUAAAUAUGGCGUUAAACAUCAUGUAGCCACUGUAUAUCAUUCCCAAACCAGCGAACAGGCCGAAGUGUCCAAAGACAAUUGAAGCGAAUACUCGAAGUCACAGUAAGCUCGUCAUGAAAGGAUUGGUCUAAGAAACUGGACGACGCCUUGUGGGCCUAUAGGACUAUAUUCAAGACCCCUAUAGGAAUGUCACCAUAUUGAUUGGUUUUCGGGAAAGCAUGCCACUUACCUCUUGAGAUAGAACAUCAUGCUUACUGGGCAAUGAAGAAAUUGAAUUUGGAUUUGAAGGCUGCAGGUGAAAAACGUCUUCUACAACUUAAUGAGCUGGAUGAACUCAGAAUGGAAGCCUACGAGAAUUCAAGAAUCUACAAAGAGCGCACCAAGAAAUGGCAUGAUAUGCUCAUUCAGAGGCGUGAAUUUACGGUGGGGCAAAAAGUGCUACUCUACAACUCUAGGCUUAAGCUGUUUUUCAGGAAAGCUGUGAUCGAAAUGGUCUGGUCCAUAUACUAUUACACAGGUUUUUCCACAUGGGGUAGUUGAGAUCACUCACAACAGCAAGGGGACAUUCAAGGUUAAUAGACAGCGUUUGAAGCACUAUUGGGGUGGCGAUUUUUCAAAAGAAAAGUUUACCGUUCAUUUUAGACCACCAGAAUGACGCAAUACGGUAAAGUCGAGCUAUCGACUAUAAUCUAGCACUGUGUGGGAGGUAACCCAUUGUAUCCUUCUAUUAGCUUACUUUUCACAUUACUUUUAGAAUUAUUUUUAUUUUCGCAUUUGCAUUUCUCUAGGUCAUCGUUCAUACAUGCAUGUUCUAAGGAUCAGAUUAUCGUUCCCAUAAUUUUUCUAGGCAUUAUACACAUGGUCAGUAAGUUUGAAAUGAUUUUGGGUGUUUGGGAGUAGGGUUCACGCAUUUCUAGAUAAAAAAUUAUGAGGGAAAUAUCAUUAUGCUUUUCAGAAAGUUUUCUUUUUCAAAUAAAAAAAAUUUGUCUAUGCGAUCGCAUAGACACCUACCGAAAGUUAAAAGGGGGCAAAAUCCAUUACUAUGCGGCCGCAUAGUAGAGUUCGGUCAUGGGUUAAAACCAUGACCGGACCAUUUCCCUCCCCCAUUUUCCCUUAUUCCCUUAGCCAUCACACAACCACCUUCACACACGCCUCUCACAUACAUUACACGGUCAUUCUCCUCCCAUUGGCGUGCUACUUCAUUACUUCUCACUUCCAUUACGACUUCAAGGUAAUCUCUCUUUCCUUCUUCUCAAUAACUUUCUUUCAAUUUGUUUCGUAACGAAAUAAGCAUAUUUUGAGCUUGUUUGUGGAGUUUGGGCAAUAGGUAGUAGAUGAUUUUGUACAUUUUGCAUUUGGAUUGUGUUGUGAAUAGGAGGGACAUUAUCGAAUUGGUAUUUUAUAGGGUUUAUAAAGCUUGCAUGCUACAUGUUGAUGAAUUGCCUACCUGAAAUUUUUAGUACAUUUUGCGCAAUUCCGCAUUAGAUCUUUUGAAUAUGCGCAUUCUCAUAUAUGUGAUGCCUAAAUGCCAUCGAAAUUAAGCUCGAAACACUCGCAUACGAACCACACACAUUAAGGCACGUGUUAGGUUCACGUCACCUCAUCGUACCCACUUCGUCCCUUGCGUUAAGUACCCGUACGACGUCCAAUGAGCUUGAAAAUUGAAUAUGUGUCACUCCACACUACAUACUUUCAUAUGCUUGCAGUUGCUUGAGAAAACUUCAAAUUUUCUCGAUGAUGUCCAGGGGCGAACAUGCACACUUAAUCAUCAAGUUACUUGAUUUAUUUUGGUUGUUUGGACCUCCGUUUGUGUGUAACUUGUUAUUUUGCCUUCCUUCAACGUUCUUGAGCAUGUUUUCUUGACAUUUGCAUGAUACCACAUUCACAACCACCUGAAAGACCAUGUAUCACAUCACAUCCAACUUGCAACGCAUAAGCACAUGGCUAGGUCACGGCACCCUACGUCCCCUACUUUACUCCUUUUUAUGACAUACCAAAUGACGUCCAUUCGCUUUGAAAUUUGAAUAUAUGGUAGAUCUCAUUGAAUAAUCUCAUAUGCCCGGAGCUUGCCCAAGGAAAUUUCGAUAUUUUUCGACGAUGUUCGAGGCCGAACAUGCGCACUCGGUCAUAGGUCCAAUUUUUUUCAAAUGUGCUUAUUUUGGCCUAAAUUUCCAAUUUUUCACCUUGGCAUUCUCUUUAUACUACCCUCUUUGUCAUAUUUUGAUAAGUGCACGCCAAGGUGUUCUCUAUGCAUGUUGAAGCAAGUUUGGAGGAUUUGUGAACUAUUUGUCUCGCUUAUCUCAUUCCCCCUAUCGUUUUUUUUUNNNNNNNNNNNNNNNNNNNNNNNNNNNNNNNNNNNNNNNNNNNNNNNNNNNNNNNNNNNNNNNNNNNNNNNNNNNNNNNNNNNNNNNNNNNNNNNNNNNNNNNNNNNNNNNNNNNNNNNNNNNNNNNNNNNNNNNNNNNNNNNNNNNNNNNNNNNNNNNNNNNNNNNNNNNNNNNNNNNNNNNNNNNNNNNNNNNNNNNNNNNNNNNNNNNNNNNNNNNNNNNNNNNNNNNNNNNNNNNNNNNNNNNNNNNNNNNNNNNNNNNNNNNNNNNNNNNNNNNNNNNNNNNNNNNNNNNNNNNNNNNNNNNNNNNNNNNNNNNNNNNNNNNNNNNNNNNNNNNNNNNNNNNNNNNNNNNNNNNNNNNNNNNNNNNNNNNNNNNNNNNNNNNNNNNNNNNNNNNNNNNNNNNNNNNNNNNNNNNNNNNNNNNNNNNNNNNNNNNNNNNNNNNNNNNNNNNNNNNNNNNNNNNNNNNNNNNNNNNNNNNNNNNNNNNNNNNNNNNNNNNNNNNNNNNNNNNNNNNNNNNNNNNNNNNNNNNNNNNNNNNNNNNNNNNNNNNNNNNNNNNNNNNNNNNNNNNNNNNNNNNNNNNNNNNNNNNNNNNNNNNNNNNNNNNNNNNNNNNNNNNNNNNNNNNNNNNNNNNNNNNNNNNNNNNNNNNNNNNNNNNNNNNNNNNNNNNNNNNNNNNNNNNNNNNNNNNNCUGCAAGGGUUUAAAACCUGGUGCCCUAAAGCCAACUGGUUUGGGAGUCACCGGUCUAAAGCUGGUUACAUGAGUUAUAUAGAAAAGCAAAUGAGAAGAUGACAAUCAAUCAGAAAUUAAAGAAAGUUGAGAAAAAUAAAAGAGAGACAACACAUGACGAGAAGCCCUUAGACAUUUGGUUGAAGAGACUGUACCUCUGAGGCGAGACAAGUAAUCUAGUUUGAUCUUGAGUGUCAAUGCAAUCAAAUCUAGGAGAGCCUUCACUUUUUGAAAUGUAGACUUGUGAUAGUAAUGCUAAAUCCGAACUACGAGAGGGUGAGGACUACAACUAUAUAAAUUCCUAAUCUUAAAACACAACCCUGGGAUAAUUGAGUGAAAAGAAUAAGUUUGGGGGGUUGUGUAUCUCUCGAGCGAGUAAGGAUAUAUUUGACCACUUGAGGUCGGGACUCAAAUUCAUCAUAAACCUGAUAUGUUUGCAUGAAUUCACACACGCACGUCAAUUUGCAUUAAACAGGUAAAGGUUUAUGUCAUGUUUGCACAGAUAAAUUUUUAAAUACUAAGUCCAAUCCUCAGCCACAACAGGGUAUUAAGCCAUGUUUGUUUAGAAUUAAGUCACUAUCUUGUUUGAGGAUAAACAAUAGUUCAAGUUUGGGGGGUUUGAUAAGUGUGUUUUUGCACACUUAUUUAGGUCACAAACAUGACUUAAAAACGAGCAAAAUGAUUGAAUUGUGACUUAAUCUCGUACAUUUGUGAAUUGUAGGGAACAACGGUGAACAUGGUGAAAUUCAGGAGAAAAGACGCGAAAAGGACUAAAGUGACGCAAAGUGAAAGUUCAGGGACCAAAAGUGCAAAUAUCCAAAAGUUGAUCCGAUGAACAAAUCGAGAAAUCGAUUUGGCCAAUUACCAAUUGACAAUAUCGUGGGUUGAUGAAAUGAAAAGAAUGAAGCAAGGAUGCCAAGAAGUGAAGGAUGCAAGUGGGAGGAUCAAAACGCACAUCUAUCAUAGUAGAUAGUACUAUGCGACCGCAUAGUACUAUCCUCUAUGCAGUCACAUAGUAGCAUACCGAAAACAAAGAUGCCCCAAAAUUUUACUCUAUGAGACCGCAUAGAGCAAUUAUCAAGGAAAAAUUUAGUUUCUUUUUUCUUCCGAAACUCUUAUGGAAACAAUAGUUUUAGGGUCCUAUAAAUACAAAAACUCGACCAGAACGUGGGGGACGCCAUUUUUACAUGUUUUUGGGAGAUUUUGAAGGAAGAACGAAGGAUAGAACAAGAGAACAACAUCGCGCCAAGUGAAGAUUGGAUUGAAGAUUGAUUCGGGUGAUGUCGUUUCUUCAAAUGUUUUUAUGUUUUGUUCUUUUUAGCAUGUUAGGCUAGAUUUAUCACUGCUAGGAGAUCGAUGAACCUUGUAAUACUACGUUUAAUUGUUGUUUUGGAUUUUUCACUUAUUUGAACACAAGUUCUGGAUUUGAUUGAUUUAUUUCAUUUUUAUUUUCAUAUGAUUAUUGUGCACGUAAUUAUAUGAUUGUGGUGGCCUGUUUUAUGCAUUCGAAAGAAGGAAAAUAGGUUCGACAUAAUAUAAAUCAUCAUAGGGUCCGAUAGGGAAUAGAAAUAUACCUCUAUGCCUUGUGUGAAUCAUUGGAUAUUCGUGAAUUUAUAAUGCAUGUCAGUAUGUUAGUAUUCGUCAAAGAAAUAUAGUCGAAUCAUAUAUUGGGAUAGAUUUGACAUUGCUAGAGAGAGAUUGCUAAAUUAAAAUAGGAAUAUCGAUUCAUCUUUUGUGGAAUUGUGCGUCAAAUUUGCAUAAUUGACAAUUGGACGGGUAUUGUUUGGGGAUUUGUGAUCCUAGUGCGCUAGUACAUCCAUUAAUUCCAUAAAAUUCUAGUUAAAUUGCAUCCAAGUUAUUUUGCACUUAGUAUAAUUCUUCAUUCAUAAUUGCAUGAACGGUUACAUUUUGUUACUUAAAGUACAAAACCUCAAUUUGGUUGUCGUGUUUCGGUUAAGGUCGUACUAGAUUAAUUUGAACUAAUUCAAUCCUUGUGGGAUCGAUACUUUAACUCAUAGUUCAUUUUACUACUUGUUAACGAACCGUACACUUGCUGUAGAUUUUAAAUCGGAAUAAAUAAUUUCUUGAACAUUCAUCUCAAUUACUUCUAUUGGUUACUUGCUGCACUUAGCAUGGUAACAUUCAUAGCAUUUCUGCACUUUACAAGAUCUUAUAAUAACAAUCAUAGGAAUGCCCUUCGAUUAAGUGGGACAAGAGCCUUGCAUGGUGGCAUUUCCAAUAAACCGUUGAGUAAAAGUUUUACGUGUUAAAUUUUCCAUGAAAAAUUAAUCCUUCACUGAUCGCAACUUGUAGAAAUUUUUUAUCGAUAAUCAUCUGAGGAGGUUCUUGCAUCAGCAUCAAAAGAUCUGCUUAUUUUCUUGAUGCUGGACCUAGUUCUUUUCAUCCUCUUUGAUUCCAAUAAUGAAAUAGAGUUGCCAUACCCUCUACAACUAUUGCUACACGUAAACCAACCUUAUUCUCCAUGUCGUUAGCAUCAAUAUUAUGCUAAGCUUAGUAAUAUAGGGUAUUUCUGUAAGUGUUAUGCCCUAUGUCCAAUCAACUUUGGACAUAAAUACUUUUAAUAUAUAAUUAAUGCAAUUUAAUGGAAGAUCUAUUAUUUAAUUAAUAGACAAUUAAAUUAAGCCCUUGUUUGAUUCCCAUUCUUUGGGAAAAAAAUUGAAUUCUUCUACAGUGUUUUGAUAUCAUUUCAACCACACAUUUUUCAAUAAAAUAAUAUUACACGUAAAUCCAAAAAUUUUCAUUAUUUUUUAACCAUAGAUUUUUCAUCAAUACACUAUUCAAAAAUUCAUUUUCCCCUUAAAAUGAGGCUCAAACAAGGGCUAAAUAAUAGAGUCCGUAGAUUCAAAUUUUCGUAAUUUGUUAAUCACAAUGAAUUGUGAUUGUGAGAUACAAAUUACAUCAUAUUGACGAAGGUUUUCAACUUAUAUUGACUUAAUAGUGGAGUAAAAUAUAUGAUCGAUAAUCGAGAUUGACACACUUCCUUAUCUUAUAAUUGAUCGAAUCAUAUUGAUGAAGAAAUUAUUAUUUUAGGGUAAAUGAACAAGUUUGGUUUUGUCAUACCACGUGACAUUUUUCGUCUCAUGUAUUGCUCUGAUACAUUGUUAGAUGUCAAUUUGGGAUGGUGAGUGUGAAUUGAUGAUAAAUUAAAAGGGUAUUUUAAUUUAUCAAUUUUGACUAGAUCAAAAUAAUAUUUCACGUCAUUAGGCAUCGUGAUCGGGAACCUGAUGGGUCGCACGCAAAAGAGAAUUGAAAAAUUACAAUUUGUCAAUUAGUUAAUUUAACAAUCGUUGGAUAAAUUAAUUAAUUAGAUUGGUUAUUUAGAGGCCCUAAUUAAUUGAUUUGAUUAAUUAGUUCACAAACCAAAUUUAAUUAAAUUGAUUAAUUAAAUAUUGGACCGGGUCUUGCCAAGCUCAUUUGGGCUUAUAUGAAUAACUAAUUAGGGUUUACAAUUUUGUAGACAAUUCAUUAUUUUUGCUAGUACAAGAAGAAAAUCAUAAUCCUACAAUCUUGUUCUCUAUAUAGAUUACCAUUAGAGGUUGGACAAUUGGACAGCUAUGUGAGGCAGAUCAAGGUUACUGGAACAAAGAAAAGGCAAAAAGUUUGCAGAUCUCGAAAAAAGGUACAAUCACUUUUAUCAUAAAAUUCUACCUCAAAGAGAUCCUUGGUGGAAAUUGAAAAAUUAUUUUAUUUUCACUGCGCAUGAUAAGUAGAUUCCCAACAGUGGCAUCAAAACAUACUUUAUGUUUGUUAGAAAUUGUCUAGAAUAUGUGAAUAAUCAAAAGUUGAUUGUUAAUUUCUAGUUUCUAACAAUUAGAAAAUUAUAUCUUCAAAAUGGUUUUGAACAGAAAAUAAUUUUUGGAUUGGAAUACUAAAAAUAAAAAAAAAAAUAAAAGAAAAGGAAGGUGAGAAUAGGGACUGGCCGGCUAGCGUGAGCAGCAGCAUUUGGUGUGCCAUAUGGCGCACCACAUUCUUGUGCCGACUGCUGGAGGCUGGAGAGAGAAAUGUGCCGGUCAUCGCCGGUGUCGCCAAGAAGAAGAGAAGCAUUUUAGGGUUCAAUUGGGUGAAGAUUUAGGGCUUCUGUUGAUUUUUUGGAGACGAGGGCCUCGAUUGCAAUUAGUGAUAUUAAGGCCGCCUGUUACAAUUAUGAUAAUGGGUAUAUUUGCAAAUUUUAAACGGACGGCAUGUCGGUAAUUAUUGAAUUGGAAGUCCCCAUUUUUAAUUUUGAAAUCAGGUUGAAUUGCAAUUUUCUAAAGGAUUUUGAUUGCAAUUUUAAAAUGGUUUUUAAAAUUGAACUUCAAGAGUAUUUGACCCAAAAUAUUAAUUUUGACCCGAUUAAAGUUUUAUUUGAAAUUGGCGGCUUUUUAUAUUUUCGUUAAAAUUAGAUUUUAACUUAAAUAUUAUCAUUUGACCCCAAAUUGAAUUUUAUUUUAUUUGGGAGUUAUAUUCUAAUUUAAAAUAUUAACUCAAUUUAAAUUAGAGUUGGACUCUAAUUUAAUACUUAAUUAAAAUUUGACUUUAAUUAAUUAUUCAUCCAAAUAUGUUAUUGAAGUUAGAAUUUGAUUCUAAUUUGACAUUUAAUUAAAAUUUGAUUUAAUUAAAUUAUCAUGCCCUAAAAUUUUAUUUAAAAUUAGAAUUAUAUUCUAAUUUGAUGUUUAAUUAAAAUUUGAUUUUAAGUAAACAAGUUCGCCCUAAAAUAAUGGAAUUAGAGUUGGACUCUAAUUUUGUUAUUUAAUAAAAAUUUGAUUUUAAAUUAAAUUGAACUGCCUUACCUUUUGAAAUUAGAGUUGAUCUCUAAUUUGGUAUUUAAUUAAAAUUUGAUUUUAAUUAAAUCGUCCUGCCCUAUAAUUGUAGAAUUAGAAUUGGAAUCUAAUUCGGUAUUGAAUUAAAAUUUGAUUUUAAUUAAAUAUGCUCGCUAAUUAAAUGAAUUGAUUUAUAUCAUUAAUUAAUUAUUUAAUUGUUCCAAUCCAUUUUGUCUAAAAUAGUUUAGACAACUUAGUUGCUAAAAACUUGAAGCGUGUUUGCAUAUAAAGUUAAAUAUUAUAUAGGCAUACAUUUAUGUGAUAAAUGCAUUAUUAUAGGAUGAUUAUAGACUCGACCAUGUGGAUGUGUUGAAUGAUUUUUAUUGUUGUUUUUUUGUGAGCAUGCGAGCUCUUAAUUGUUUUGGACUUACGAGUCUGUUAUUAUUAUUAUUGUGGGCCUAUGAGCUCUUAAUCAUUUUGAACCUGCGAGUCUGUUAUUGUUAUCAUUACUAUGGGCUUGAAAGUCCAAAUUUCAUUUAGGCCUGCAUGCUAACUAGUUUAGGAUACAUAUUGCAACUAGACUAAUUGAAGAAACAAGAAGAAGAGGAGACCAUAGAAAUAGUGCAUUGAUAUUGAUUCAAUGCUAUAGCUCCUAAGAAUUGAUCAACUAAUCUUCCUUAUGGCUCGAGAAGACUAGAUAGUAAAAGUUCAUAAUUGUCCACACUAUUAUAUUAUGUUAUAUAUAUGUUUAUUUGCCUGAAAAAUGUAAAAUAAAAUAUAUAUGAUUGUUACGAUGAGACCUUUGAACACAAAGUCCAUCAAUAAAAUAUUAAAUCAUGUUUAUAAUCGUCUUCCAUCAUUAUAGUGAAAAAUCAGAGUUUCAAGUCGUUUCAACUUAUUAAGUACACUCAAGGUUGGUCUAUUAGGGAUAUAUUUGACACUAUAAAAUAUUAGAUAUAUCUGAAUGAUGGGUUCGACUUGAUUAAAAUUUAUCUUUUGUUGAGUACACUCAAGGAGAUAAAUUUUAGCGGCAUGUUAAGCUAACACAUAAGAUGUGUGAAGAUAAGGAAUUGUCAGCUUAAUGAUCUAAAAGUUAUAUGGAGAUACAAUUGAUAAUAAUAUCUACCCAAAUAUUAUAUUAAGGCUUGUUGAGUACACUCAAGGUCCUAGUAUAACAGAUGGGAUCUCAGCCCAUUGGGAGUCAAGUAUGGACUCCAUAAAUUUAUGCGAGAUAGUCAUAAAUUUGAGUUAAACAGUGGGAGCAUAAUUAAUUUUAUAAAAGUCCAUGUUAAAUUAAUUGAUGUUUUUUGUAUAUUAUUCUUUUUUUUUCGUCAUUUAUAUUUAUUGAAUCGUAAGUAACCAUGUGUAUUUGGGUGGCAUAUUGGAUGCCAACAAUCAAACCAAAUUAAAUCUUCUUGAUUGGCAUAACAAUUUGAGAAUUUUUCUCAGACAUGAGAAAAUUGGUUGUCCUUAAGUAGCCCUUUUAGGAUAUAUCUGGUGAUAACUCAAUUGAGGAAAAAGUGGCUACUAUAAUAAUACAGUGAUGACAAUAAUAGUGCAACAUGUGUGAUGUUUGCAUUACCUCAUCUGAGUUACAAAAGCAACUUAAGAGUAUAUAUGAUAACACAUGAUUUUUCAUUUCAAAGAGUUGUAUGAUAAUAAUCAUGUAUGUAAAGAUAUGAGACUUCCAAGCAACUAUACCGAUGCGAAAUGACAGAGGAAACUUCAAUCAGUGCUCAGGUACUAAAGAUGAGUGAUAUUGAGAAAUGUCUCUGUUGAGUUCAAUCAUAAACCAUGAACUAAGUAAUGACUUGGUUCUUCAAUCUAUGUCAGAUAAAGCUAUUCACAACUAAUUAUAAAUUUAACGUAAAUAAGUUUGAAUGCUCAAUUAUUGAGUUGCUUAACAUGAUUAAGACUGUUAAGCCCAACUAAUUAUGAAAAAAGGGUUUUCGACUUAUAUUAACUUAUUUGUGGAGUGAAAGAUUUGAUCGAUAAUCGAGAUUGACAUACAUCCAUAUCUCGUAAUUGAUCGGAUCAUAUUGACGAAGGGAUUAUAGUUUCACGAUAAACGAACGAGUUUGAUUUUGUCAUACCACGUGACAUUUUCCCGUCACACGUACUACCCUGACACAUUGUUAGAUGUCAAUCUGGGAUGACGAGUGUGAAUUGGUGAUAAAUUAAAAAGGUGUUUUAAUUUAUCAAUUUUGACUAGAUCAAAAUAAUAUUUCACGUCGUUAGGCAUCGUGAUCAGGAACAUGAUGGAUCACACACAAAAGAGAAUUGGAAGAUUGCAGUUUGUCAAUUAAUUAAUUUAACUAGUUAUUUAUAGGUCUAAAUUAAUUAAUUGGAUUAAUUAAUUCACGGACCGAAUUUAAUUAAAUUGUUUAAUUAAAUAUUUGACCGGGUCAGGUCAAAUCCGUUUGAGCUUAUAUAAAUAACUGGUUAGGGUUUACAAUUUUGUAAAGAAUUCAUUAUUUUUGCUAGCACAAGAAGAAAACACUAAUCCUACAAUCUUGUUCUCUGUGUGGAUCAUCGUUGGAAGUUGGACAAUUGGAUAACUGUGGAAGACAGAUCAAGGUUGCUGGAACCAAAAAAAAUAAUAAUAAUAAAAAAAUAAAAAAUAAAAAAAGGCAAAAAGUUUGCAGAUUUCAAAAAAUGUAUAAUCACUUUUAUCACAAUUUCUAUCGAAACACAAAGAGAUUCUUGGUGGAAAUUAAAAAAUUAUUUUAUUUUUUCGCUGCGCAUAAUAAGUACAUUUCCAACAAUUCCAUACAUCAAAUUUAGAACGAUCAGAGUUUGAAGGUUUUGGCAGACAAAUCAUCUCAGCAAAUAUCUAUGGGAACAUCACUAAACCACAUUAUUUUGUGUGGAAAUCUUCAUUAUCUUGCAUCAACAUCUCAUCUUUGCAUUCCGGACUGUACAAUUCUGACCAGGUUGAAGUAUAAAUUCACAUUUGCUGUUACGAAGCAAAAAAGCAUCAUUAGAGACAGAAUAAAGUGGUAAAUUGUCUUUAAACCAUUUGACGAGCUUGUCUAAAUAGGUUAAAAUGAUCAACACUCCCAAGAGAAACAAGAUAGAAACAAGAUGUGGGGGAAGAAUUAAAAGAGUACAAACAAGCGAGAAUAGACAUCAUGAUCCUUAAGACAUAAGUAUGUUUGAAUAAAACUAAAUGCGAAGCCAUCAUGCACUCACUAACUACGAAUAAUGUAAACUACUCGAAGAGACAUUGCCGCUAAAUCUCCAAAAGAGAUAUUCAUUAGCUCGAUUUUAAGAAGUUACAAAAUUCUGACUCGUGAUAUUAGGAUAACAAUUUUUUCCCAUGUUAAAUUUGUUUCAAUAGAAUCAACGAAAAAUCUCGAAAAAUCUCAAAAAAUCUAUCGCUCAAAUUCAAGCGGUUUGUUUUGAUGGUUGAGGUUUAUUUAGGACAUGGUGUGGCUACUCAAGUGCAAUGUUGAAUUCAUUUUCGGAUUCUGUGCCUGCAAUAUGUCUCCACUCAGAAGAAAUAGAAAUGCUAGUCCAAAUGAGACUGAAACUUUUUGGAAGUGAAGAUGAAAUUUGAAACAACAUAGAAACAAUCCAAGUUCUUAUACGACAUGAAAUAUAUAGGAUACAAAUUCAUCUUGGUAUUGGAACAAUUUCAGCAAUCAAUGGUCUCAAUUGACUAUGAAUUUGCAAAAACACUUGGGGCUGCAGAAUGAAUUAGUUUUGAAUAGUUUCGGAGCUAGCUUGGUUCGUUUUAUAAUGGGAUUAUAAACAUCUAACCUUGAAUACAUUUUUUCAAAAAUAAAUAUGUUCAAUGUUUAGAGUCGAAUUAUAUAUGUAUUUUUUUAGACAUGAUAAAAUAAUUUCAUACCAUGCACAAUAACGAUUGUUGUUAGUGAUCAUCAUUGGUACUUUGAUUGCUAAUUAUCGAUGAAGAAUCUUUUCGUUUUUUAAUGUUUUGAAAAUUGAACUUUGAGCCACGUCACGUGGAUUCAGUCUAACUUUAUAAUGUUGUUGAAACAUAACUAUUUUAUGUUAAAAUGCUCUUUGUCCAUCACUUAUUAGAAGAAUUGGACGAUAAUCUGUGUCACAUUUAAAUUCUAUAUGCUAUGUGAUUGUUUUUUCUAAGCGAAUAUUGACGAGUGACAGACGAAAACUAAUUUUUGAAAGUUGAGUGAUGAUCGAGAAAUUUUUUGAAGUCUAAUGAUUACUUGGUAAUCUUUGAAAUUGAAAUUAUCAAUUAAUUCUUUAAUAACUUCUCAUUUUAUUUUUAAUCCCUCGCUCACAUUUUCACACUGAAAUGCAUGUCCACGCGCAUUCCCGCCAAGUCCUAUAGAGCAAACGCGUCUUCUCCGUGCGAGAGAGCGAGGGAGAGUGAACUUUGUUAGGGGCUAGAGGGAUUUUCAAUGGGUUCACCGAAGAAGAGGAGAGGCAAGAAUAAAAGGGCUGAAACCGAAAUCCCAGUUGAAGAUGAUAAUAAUUUUGAUAAUUAUCGCACUUUCGAGACUCUCCUUAGAGCAAUUCAAUCCCCUCAGGUUCAAAUUUUUCUCUUUGAUUUGCAAUCAUUCUUCUGAAUCAAACUCUUAUUUCUCUCUCUUUUUUUUUUUUUUGCCUAUAAUUUAAUUGUGUGUUUAUGUAUUACUUGAAUGAAUUGUUUGCCGACUUAGAAUUUCACGAGGGCACAUUUGAUAAUUAGUUCUGUAACUAUUAUUAUUAUUAUUAUUAUUAUUGUUAUUUUAUUUUAUUUUUUUCCAAAAAAGUUGAGAGCUUUGAAAAAAUUGGGAAGGAAUUAUGUUUUUAUGACUGUAAAUUUACAUUUUUUGAUAGAAGAUAAAGGAAAUAAUGUUUCCAUUAUAGUAUUACUUUGCAUUUUGGAAGCGAACUGAGAUUCGUUGUUGCUUCCCUACUGGAGCUUGGGCUAUGUCGUAGUCCUUUUGUGGCGUUAAGUUUUCUUUUUUUCGUUUCUGUUGUUUUUCUUUGGGUUUGAAGCAGGAGUUCAUUAAGAUGACUUUAAUUAGAGUGCAACAAUUUGGUCUACGUUGAAAGCACCACGUUAAAUGCUAGGACAUUGACUUCUAAAAAAGAUAUCACAAGAUACAUAUAUAUCUUUCAGUCUCCCCCCCUAUUGAUCUUUAGAAAUCGGUUAAUUCUUUGCUAUAUUUUGUCACGAUACUGGUGCAUUUAUUUUCUGAUUUAUUAUAUUAUAUAAAAGAGGACUCGAUAUUUCAGGGGAUAAAACCGCCGGUCUUGAAGAGUUUGUAUCUUCUGCUUGUUCAUUUGUCUUCAAACCCACAAUGGAGUGUCAAAUGUGCAGUUGGUUUGAAUGAAUAUGACCUGGAAAUUUACAAUGAAGGGAUCAAAGUGGCAUUCGGAGAUGUAUGUAGACUCUCCGAUGUACUAUUUAAAGAGAUAACUGAGAGGUAUAAGCACUUCUUAGCUUUAUGUGAAAACCUUGCAAGUAAGAAUUUCGAAGAAGUUAGCUCCCACUCGGAUUUGUUGGACGCCGCUGAAAUAGUGAAUUUGCUGUUGAGAUGUUGCAUAGUACUGUUGAUUCUGCUUGCAGCCCAACAAAAUCUUUUUCUGGAGAAAGGUCUCAUUCUGUUAAGGAUACUCAGACAAUUGAGUUUACCAAAUUCACUUGUGACAAAGGGGAAAAGUGCAUUUAACUUUGAGAAGUCAGUUUCUCAUCAGUGUGCUCGCGGUGAAAGUGACUGCAAAACAUCCUAUGCUGAAGACUUUACUGCCUCCUUUCACAUUUUAGAACCAUCUAAUCUUUACCUCUUUUUCCAAUCAGCAAUGCUGGAGGUAAUUUGAUAGUCCACUUUUUUAUGUUAUUGACUUAUCUAUGACUUGCAAUAGGGGAGUAUCAGAAAUUUCACGCUCAUUGUUUUGCACUAAUUGAAACCUUUGGAAUUUUGCAUUCAUUGUUUCAAUACUCAUUUGGAGAAAUGUUAAACUUGAAUUCAAAGAGACAUCUCGUUGGUAACUAUCCUAAUAGAUCAGCAAUCUAGAUAAUUUGAAAAAAUGGUGAAGGCAUAUAAUUUUUGGUUUAAUUAGUUGUAAUAAAUUAUUUUUUGUAACAUUCUACAAAAAAUUAGUUUUUGUAACGUUCUAUGCUUGUGGCCUUUUCACUCACUCUCUCUCUCUCUCUGCUCCUCCCUCCCUCCUGAAGCAUCUAAUUAAUCAUCCUAAUUAAUCAGUAUGGAUAGGAAGAACUUUGAGGCUUUUAUUGGAUGUUGAAAAGAAAGAGAGAAAAACUUUUGUCUAUCUCCAGGAAGGAUUUUGUAUAUUCACAUUGGGUUCUCUGUGAUGAUUAUGUAGUUGUAUUUCUACCUUUCUGUUACAGGAAGCUGCAGUUUCUUUCACAGAAUUAUCUUCUCAAAGAUAGUUACACAAGCUUGAGAACUUCUUCUCUAUGCUUUCCUGUGUGAUUUCAAAUGUUUGGUAGCCUUGGCCCUUGUUUUCAUAUUUUUAAGCAUAUCACAUUUGUUUCUUGAUAUUUGUAAUUUUAGUUAUAUCGUUAAGAAUAUUUCUGGAGUUCUCUUAUAUAUAUAUUUCUGGAGUUCUCCCCAUGUAAUUUGUAAAUUUCAUUUGCACAGGUAUUUCUAGACGAGCUUUUGAUUCAUGAGCAAAUAAGAGGGUACUUUAAGCUGAUUGAUUCUGUUGCUUCUAUUGGAGAAAAGCUGCUUAUUUGUCAUUCUACCCAGGGGGGUAUUGGGUUUGUAAUGGAAGUGAUUUGUACUCAUUUUUUAAAAUCAUUUUCUGAUGAGCUUGCAUUUGAAGAUUUUCUCGUCCGAUUAUUUGUCAUACAUGCUAAGGAACUUAGAUAUUCGUACAGAGCUCCAGAAAUAAGUCUGGUUACUGCAGUAUCAUUACUUCUCGAUCCUAUUAUGGUUUCUGCUCCAAAAUAUAUGCAAGCACAUCUGAUCUCUUUGGUUUCUGAAGCUAAUUAUAUGAUAGACAUAGAGAGCCCGAAACCAGAUCGUAAACUUUUGAACUGCUUCCUGUCAGUUUUUGAAAAAUCAGUCAUUUUGUACAUGAAGCACAUGUCUAGUUUGGAAAUAGAUGGCUAUUCUCAAAGUGGUGUAGGUUGUGAUAAAUCAAAUAUAUCGGAUGAAAGACUUCAUCCGUUGUUUGAAUCCUAUAUAUCGCCUGAGACAAAGCAGAAGAUCGAUACUCUAAUAUCCAGAUUAGAUGAUUCAUUGCUUCCAAAAUUGCAUGGCAUUUUCAUUAAAAUGAAAUCUGAUCUUGUAAGUUCUGCCAUGAAAUUUGUGAAGGAGAUGCAAACUGUUUUUGAGGUACCAUGUCAAGAUGAUAUUUUAGCUAUCUUAAGUGGCUUAAUUCUCAGAGCUUCUGAUAGCUUCAAUGACACUGCAAUACAUUCAAUUGAGGGUACAAGUCUGCAGGAUGUAUAUCUUCUUGCUUCCUUAUUGAAGUUAAUGAGCACUUCAUUGAGGCAAGCCGUACGGUGUCUCAGACAAGGUGAUGAUUUAUGUUGCGUGAAAACCUUGAAAGAUUUUUCUUCAUGUAAGGAGUAUGAUUUCAUUAUGGGUAUAAUCACUACUUUCAGAAACUUUGGCAUUCAGUUACCCACCCAACAAGUUCUAUUCGAUGAGAUGUCGAGCCAUGUUACAAGGCAUACAGUUUCUAAAAUGAUGUUUUUGCAUUUUUCUGGCUUGAUGUCAUUGAGCUUUGUUAGUGGGCUUGAUUGUUUAGUUAAGGGCUGCUUGUUGACAAUUAUUGCCAUAUUGAAUUUAUUUGUUUUCGAAGAGGGUAAUUUAGAUGCAUUUCGGUCAGUGGUUGAUUCCAAUAAAGAAUCCUUUUCAUCUGGAUUGCUCCAUGUCAAAUUCCAGGAGGUAAUGUUCUCCUUUUUCCACCUCCACUCAAUUUUCAUAAAGGGUUCUCUGUUUCAGCAUGUAUAACUUUUUGUAAAUGAUGCAGACUGUAGUGGACCAAAACUCUAGCCUAGUGGUUGCAUCAAAAUUUCAGAAGAUAAGGACCCUGUAUUUGAGGUAAUUAAUGCUAUGCAUGCAGUAUGUUGAUUGCUGAUGGAUGUACCAUUGUACCCCCAAAGUGUUCUUUUCAGCUUGUACCAUGAUGAACCUGCAUUUGCAUGGUCUUAAGUUCUCCAUGUUGAUUGCCCAAAACUAAUAAUACUUCCUACGUAGUAUUGCAAGAUACUGGAUAGUAACAUCCUUUUAUUUUUUAAUUCUAUCUGGUAUUGUCCAUCCACCCUACUAAACAAGCCAGUACUGUCAAUUGUGAAUUUGUGACUAAUCCUCACUUCUUUCUAUGUAGUACGGAUUGAUGCCCAAACCCACCUUCCAAAAAAAAAAAAAACACCUAUCGCUCUGUUAGAAAUAUCUUACCUUCAAUCCUUAUUCAGAGAUUAGCCGCGCAAUUCUUUGAAAGUGUGGGAACACUUUAUAAGGAGCGAGUCCUACAGAAAGAGGGCCUUUGGUUCAAUUUCACUCAGAACAAUGACCUUAUAUCUUUCUAUCCAAUUCUUAUAAUUUUCAUUUUGAACAUUGACUCGAUAGGAGUGGUCUUGAAUCCACCGGAAAUUCCCUUUGGCCCUACCAUACUCUAGCUUGGUAUUUUUCACCACCUAUUCAGGGUUGAGUCUUUGGAUUUGACACCGGACUUUGUCUCGUACAAAUGCUUUACGUACAAUCAUUCUGGAUAAUGCUUGCAUUUCUUUGCGGAACCAGUGUCAACCCUUGAAGCCUUUCGCAGCCUUUUUUUCUUAACGGCUUGGGCACGAGGCUUGGGUCGUUACAAUAUGUGAUAGAAAGCUGUGAGAGGAGUUGUGCUAAAAUAGUAUUAUCUGCUUUCGUCAUGUCGAUUCAAACUUGAAUUACGAAUUGCUUCUGUAAAACUGUAUUCUUUAUGUAGGAGAGGAAAUUUUUGCUUUUUAUUUUUCUUAUUUAUUUACUUAUCAAUUGUUCUUUUUUUUUUCAUUAGGGAUUCUCUGGCGAACAAAAGUAAAGAAACAGGAGACAAAAGUAAAGAAACAGGAGACUUAAGUGUACUGGAUAUGGAGGGUGCCAUAGGGUUGGAAGAGGAAACAGAAGAAACAAGCAAUGGGGAGAUUUUUUUUAAGUGCUUGUUAAAGGAAGGAGAGAAAAUGUCUGAUUUUGACGAUUUAGCUGAUUUUGUUGAGUUCAAACAGGGAAAAGAUUACUCAAAUUGGUUAAGUAAUCGUUACAGAUAUAGAAAGUGGAAAUGUGAGAAAAUGGCAGUGUUGAAGUGGAAGAAGAAGAAAAAAACUUGGAGAACCUUUAAAGGGAAGAAGAUUGGAGUCGGUUUAUUUUGACCACAUGUAUUCAUAUAGUGACUCAGACGGGUUCAAACAAAACACUGUUGAUGAUCCAACUUAUAGUGUUGUGUCAUUUUGGUUGGUCGAACUUUUUUGUGUUCCAAAUUAGUUGCUAAACUUUCAUUUUUCUUUCAGUCUAGAAACUCGUCUUCCUUCAUCUGCUGAAUUAAAGGAAAUGAUGGCAAGAAGCUGGUGCUCCGCAAGGUCAAGGUAUUCAUUCUUGCAUUAAAACUUUCGGCUUUGAUUCUGUUAUUUUUUCUUUUUUCAUUUUUUUAUUCUUGCAUUUCAUUGGGUAUAUUAUGCCCAUGAAUCGUGAUCAUUAUAAAUCUUCCCAAACAUCAGAACUGUAGAUUUCUGCGACAUACAUUGCAACAGAAUUUAGAUUUCAUCUUGCUUUUGGGGCACUGAUUUCAUCUCAUAUUAAGCUUCAUGUUAACAGCUUCAAGAUUGAGACCGAAGGAUCAAAGGGCGCCAUGGAAUUUUAGGCUUGCAAUAUGCAAUUUAAGAUAGUGAUUCUUCAAGAAUGCUGGACGUUCAUAAUACCAUUACUUUUGGGUGCCUAAAUGAAGUGAUACAGCCAGUAUAUUGUAAAUUUUGAGGAUUUGGCCAGGAAGUGAUUUGAUGUUCAUGAAUGUAUUUAUUUUUUUUUAUAUUCCUGUUCAGAAUUUAAAUCGAAUUAUAGUGCUUUAGACUGUAUUUCCAAUGGUAUAUUUUUUUCUUUCUUUCUGUUUAGGAAAGCAAAAAUUGAUUUAGUUUACAAAAAGAGAUUCUCAUUUUGAUUAAAUUGAAAAAGUUCUUUUCUUUAUGUGCAAACGACCAUCUUGAAAAUUGGAAUGCUAACAAAAGGAUUACUUUUGGCAAUAUCAAAAGUAUUUCACAUUCAAUUGGUACGUUUAAAAAAAAAAAAAAAAAAAAAAAACUAGAAGUCAUCGUUUACACUCACAAUGUUAUGAUUCUAACAGGUCUAAAUACAUCAAAUUCUGUAACUAACAGUACAAUCUCAAGACCUUCAGUGCUCCCAAUUUUGUGUGUAAAAUAAGCAGACUUGGCGAAUGGAGUGGCUAUUCGAGGCCUUAACUCGUAUUCAUCUAAAGCGGCCUUAUCACUGGAUGGAAAUGGUUCUGAAGAAAGGGUGAACAUACUUAUCGGNNNNNNNNNNNNNNNNNNNNNNNNNNNNNNNNNNNNNNNNNNNNNNNNNNNNNNNNNNNNNNNNNNNNNNNNNNNNNNNNNNNNNNNNNNNNNNNNNNNNNNNNNNNNNNNNNNNNNNNNNNNNNNNNNNNNNNNNNNNNNNNNNNNNNNNNNNNNNNNNNNNNNNNNNNNNNNNNNNNNNNNNNNNNNNNNNNNNNNNNNNNNNNNNNNNNNNNNNNNNNNNNNNNNNNNNNNNNNNNNNNNNNNNNNNNNNNNNNNNNNNNNNNNNNNNNNNNNNNNNNNNNNNNNNNNNNNNNNNNNNNNNNNNNNNNNNNNNNNNNNNNNNNNNNNNNNNNNNNNNNNNNNNNNNNNNNNNNNNNNNNNNNNNNNNNNNNNNNNNNNNNNNNNNNNNNNNNNNNNNNNNNNNNNNNNNNNNNNNNNNNNNNNNNNNNNNNNNNNNNNNNNNNNNNNNNNNNNNNNNNNNNNNNNNNNNNNNNNNNNNNNNNNNNNNNNNNNNNNNNNNNNNNNNNNNNNNNNNNNNNNNNNNNNNNNNNNNNNNNNNNNNNNNNNNNNNNNNNNNNNNNNNNNNNNNNNNNNNNNNNNNNNNNNNNNNNNNNNNNNNNNNNNNNNNNNNNNNNCACGUCACGUGGAUUCAGUCUAACUUUAUAAUGUUGUUGAAACAUAACUAUUUUAUGUUAAAAUGCUCUUUGUCCAUCACUUAUUAGAAGAAUUGGACGAUAAUCUGUGUCACAUUUAAAUUCUAUAUGCUAUGUGAUUGUUUUUUCUAAGCGAAUAUUGACGAGUGACAGACGAAAACUAAUUUUUGAAAGUUGAGUGAUGAUCGAGAAAUUUUUUGAAGUCUAAUGAUUACUUGGUAAUCUUUGAAAUUGAAAUUAUCAAUUAAUUCUUUAAUAACUUCUCAUUUUAUUUUUAAUCCCUCGCUCACAUUUUCACACUGAAAUGCAUGUCCACGCGCAUUCCCGCCAAGUCCUAUAGAGCAAACGCGUCUUCUCCGUGCGAGAGAGCGAGGGAGAGUGAACUUUGUUAGGGGCUAGAGGGAUUUUCAAUGGGUUCACCGAAGAAGAGGAGAGGCAAGAAUAAAAGGGCUGAAACCGAAAUCCCAGUUGAAGAUGAUAAUAAUUUUGAUAAUUAUCGCACUUUCGAGACUCUCCUUAGAGCAAUUCAAUCCCCUCAGGUUCAAAUUUUUCUCUUUGAUUUGCAAUCAUUCUUCUGAAUCAAACUCUAAUUUCUCUCUCUUUUUUUUUUUUUUUUGCCUAUAAUUUAAUUGUGUGUUUAUGUAUUACUUGAAUGAAUUGUUUGCCGACUUAGAAUUUCACGAGGGCACAUUUGGUAAUUAGUUCUGUAACUAUUAUUAUUAUUAUUAUUAUUAUUAUUAUUAUUAUUAUUAUUAUUAUUAUUAUUGUUAUUGUUAUUUUAUUUUUUUCCAAAAAAGUUGAGAGCUUUGAAAAAAUUGGGAAGGAAUUAUGUUUUUAUGACUGUAAAUUUACAUUUUUUGAUAGAAGAUAAAGGAAAUAAUGUUUCCAUUAUAGUAUUACUUUGCAUUUUGGAAGCGAACUGAGAUUCGUUGUUGCUUCCCUACUGGAGCUUGGGCUAUGUCGUAGUCCUUUUGUGGCGUUAAGUUUUCUUUUUUUCGUUUCUGUUGUUUUUCUUUGGGUUUGAAGCAGGAGUUCAUUAAGAUGACUUUAAUUAGAGUGCAACAAUUUGGUCUACGUUGAAAGCACCACGUUAAAUGCUAGGACAUUGACUUCUAAAAAAGAUAUCACAAGAUACAUAUAUAUAUCUUUCAGUCUUCCCCCUUGCUGAUUUGAUCUUUAGAUAUCGGUUAUGCAAAUUUUUUGCUAUAUUUUUGUGACGAUACUGGUGCAUUUAUUUUCUUAUUUGUUAUAUUAUAUAGAAGAGGACUCGAUAUUUCAGGGCAUAAAACCACCGGUCUUGAAGAGUUUGUAUCUUCUGCUUGUUCAUUUGUCUUCAAACCCACAAUGGAGUGUCAAAUGUGCAGUUGGUUUGAAUGAAUAUGACCUGGAAAUUUACAAUGAAGGGAUCAAAGUGGCAUUCGGAGAUUUAUGUAGACUCUCUGAUGUACUAUUUAAAGAGAUAACUGAGAGGUAUAAGCACUUCUUAGCUUUAUGUGAAAACCUUGCAAGUAAGAAUUUCGAAGAAGUUAGCUCCCACUCGGAUUUGUUGGACGCCGCUGAAAUAGUGAAUUUGCUGUUGAGAUGUUGCAUAGUACUGUUGAUUCUGCUUGCAGCCCAACAAAAUCUUUUUCUGGAGAAAGGUCUCAUUCUGUUAAGGAUACUCAGACAAUUGAGUUUACCAAAUUCACUUGUGACAAAGGGGAAAAGUGCAUUUAACUUUGAGAAGUCAGUUUCUCAUCAGUGUGCUCGCGGUGAAAGUGACUGCAAAACAUCCUAUGCUGAAGACUUUACUGCCUCCUUUCACAUUUUAGAACCAUCUAAUCUUUACCUCUUUUUCCAAUCAGCAAUGCUGGAGGUAAUUUGAUAGUCCACUUUUUUAUGUUAUUGACUUAUCUAUGACUUGCAAUAGGGGAGUAUCAGAAAUUUCACGCUCAUUGUUUUGCACUAAUUGAAACCUUUGGAAUUUUGCAUUCAUUGUUUCAAUACUCAUUUGGAGAAAUGUUAAACUUGAAUUCAAAGAGACAUCUCGUUGGUAACUAUCCUAAUAGAUCAGCAAUCUAGAUAAUUUGAAAAAAUGGUGAAGGCAUAUAAUUUUUGGUUUAAUUAGUUGUAAUAAAUUAUUUUUUGUAACAUUCUACAAAAAAUUAGUUUUUGUAACGUUCUAUGCUUGUGGCCUUUUCACUCACUCUCUCUCUCUCUCUGCUCCUCCCUCCCUCCUGAAGCAUCUAAUUAAUCAUCCUAAUUAAUCAGUAUGGAUAGGAAGAACUUUGAGGCUUUUAUUGGAUGUUGAAAAGAAAGAGAGAAAAACUUUUGUCUAUCUCCAGGAAGGAUUUUGUAUAUUCACAUUGGGUUCUCUGUGAUGAUUAUGUAGUUGUAUUUCUACCUUUCUGUUACAGGAAGCUGCAGUUUCUUUCACAGAAUUAUCUUCUCAAAGAUAGUUACACAAGCUUGAGAACUUCUUCUCUAUGCUUUCCUGUGUGAUUUCAAAUGUUUGGUAGCCUUGGCCCUUGUUUUCAUAUUUUUAAGCAUAUCACAUUUGUUUCUUGAUAUUUGUAAUUUUAGUUAUAUCGUUAAGAAUAUUUCUGGAGUUCUCUUAUAUAUAUAUUUCUGGAGUUCUCCCCAUGUAAUUUGUAAAUUUCAUUUGCACAGGUAUUUCUAGACGAGCUUUUGAUUCAUGAGCAAAUAAGAGGGUACUUUAAGCUGAUUGAUUCUGUUGCUUCUAUUGGAGAAAAGCUGCUUAUUUGUCAUUCUACCCAGGGGGGUAUUGGGUUUGUAAUGGAAGUGAUUUGUACUCAUUUUUUAAAAUCAUUUUCUGAUGAGCUUGCAUUUGAAGAUUUUCUCGUCCGAUUAUUUGUCAUACAUGCUAAGGAACUUAGAUAUUCGUACAGAGCUCCAGAAAUAAGUCUGGUUACUGCAGUAUCAUUACUUCUCGAUCCUAUUAUGGUUUCUGCUCCAAAAUAUAUGCAAGCACAUCUGAUCUCUUUGGUUUCUGAAGCUAAUUAUAUGAUAGACAUAGAGAGCCCGAAACCAGAUCGUAAACUUUUGAACUGCUUCCUGUCAGUUUUUGAAAAAUCAGUCAUUUUGUACAUGAAGCACAUGUCUAGUUUGGAAAUAGAUGGCUAUUCUCAAAGUGGUGUAGGUUGUGAUAAAUCAAAUAUAUCGGAUGAAAGACUUCAUCCGUUGUUUGAAUCCUAUAUAUCGCCUGAGACAAAGCAGAAGAUCGAUACUCUAAUAUCCAGAUUAGAUGAUUCAUUGCUUCCAAAAUUGCAUGGCAUUUUCAUUAAAAUGAAAUCUGAUCUUGUAAGUUCUGCCAUGAAAUUUGUGAAGGAGAUGCAAACUGUUUUUGAGGUACCAUGUCAAGAUGAUAUUUUAGCUAUCUUAAGUGGCUUAAUUCUCAGAGCUUCUGAUAGCUUCAAUGACACUGCAAUACAUUCAAUUGAGGGUACAAGUCUGCAGGAUGUAUAUCUUCUUGCUUCCUUAUUGAAGUUAAUGAGCACUUCAUUGAGGCAAGCCGUACGGUGUCUCAGACAAGGUGAUGAUUUAUGUUGCGUGAAAACCUUGAAAGAUUUUUCUUCAUGUAAGGAGUAUGAUUUCAUUAUGGGUAUAAUCACUACUUUCAGAAACUUUGGCAUUCAGUUACCCACCCAACAAGUUCUAUUCGAUGAGAUGUCGAGCCAUGUUACAAGGCAUACAGUUUCUAAAAUGAUGUUUUUGCAUUUUUCUGGCUUGAUGUCAUUGAGCUUUGUUAGUGGGCUUGAUUGUUUAGUUAAGGGCUGCUUGUUGACAAUUAUUGCCAUAUUGAAUUUAUUUGUUUUCGAAGAGGGUAAUUUAGAUGCAUUUCGGUCAGUGGUUGAUUCCAAUAAAGAAUCCUUUUCAUCUGGAUUGCUCCAUGUCAAAUUCCAGGAGGUAAUGUUCUCCUUUUUCCACCUCCACUCAAUUUUCAUAAAGGGUUCUCUGUUUCAGCAUGUAUAACUUUUUGUAAAUGAUGCAGACUGUAGUGGACCAAAACUCUAGCCUAGUGGUUGCAUCAAAAUUUCAGAAGAUAAGGACCCUGUAUUUGAGGUAAUUAAUGCUAUGCAUGCAGUAUGUUGAUUGCUGAUGGAUGUACCAUUGUACCCCCAAAGUGUUCUUUUCAGCUUGUACCAUGAUGAACCUGCAUUUGCAUGGUCUUAAGUUCUCCAUGUUGAUUGCCCAAAACUAAUAAUACUUCCUACGUAGUAUUGCAAGAUACUGGAUAGUAACAUCCUUUUAUUUUUUAAUUCUAUCUGGUAUUGUCCAUCCACCCUACUAAACAAGCCAGUACUGUCAAUUGUGAAUUUGUGACUAAUCCUCACUUCUUUCUAUGUAGUACGGAUUGAUGCCCAAACCCACCUUCCAAAAAAAAAAAAAACACCUAUCGCUCUGUUAGAAAUAUCUUACCUUCAAUCCUUAUUCAGAGAUUAGCCGCGCAAUUCUUUGAAAGUGUGGGAACACUUUAUAAGAAGCGAGUCCUACAGAAAGAGGGCCUUUGGUUCAAUUUCACUCAGAACAAUGGCCUUAUAUCUUUCUAUCCAAUUCUUAUAAUUUUCAUUUUGAACAUUGACUCGAUAGGAGUGGUCUUGAAUCCACCGGAAAUUCCCUUUGGCCCUACCAUACUCUAGCUUGGUAUUUUUCACCACCUAUUCAGGGUUGAGUCUUUGGAUUUGACACCGGACUUUGUCUCGUACAAAUGCUUUACGUACAAUCAUUCUGGAUAAUGCUUGCAUUUCUUUGCGGAACCAGUGUCAACCCUUGAAGCCUUUCGCAGCCUUUUUUUCUUAACGGCUUGGGCACGAGGCUUGGGUCGUUACAAUAUGUGAUAGAAAGCUGUGAGAGGAGUUGUGCUAAAAUAGUAUUAUCUGCUUUCGUCAUGUCGAUUCAAACUUGAAUUACGAAUUGCUUCUGUAAAACUGUAUUCUUUAUGUAGGAGAGGAAAUUUUUGCUUUUUAUUUUUCUUAUUUAUUUACUUAUCAAUUGUUCUUUUUUUUUUCAUUAGGGAUUCUCUGGCGAACAAAAGUAAAGAAACAGGAGACAAAAGUAAAGAAACAGGAGACUUAAGUGUACUGGAUAUGGAGGGUGCCAUAGGGUUGGAAGAGGAAACAGAAGAAACAAGCAAUGGGGAGAUUUUUUUUAAGUGCUUGUUAAAGGAAGGAGAGAAAAUGUCUGAUUUUGACGAUUUAGCUGAUUUUGUUGAGUUCAAACAGGGAAAAGAUUACUCAAAUUGGUUAAGUAAUCGUUACAGAUAUAGAAAGUGGAAAUGUGAGAAAAUGGCAGUGUUGAAGUGGAAGAAGAAGAAAAAAACUUGGAGAACCUUUAAAGGGAAGAAGAUUGGAGUCGGUUUAUUUUGACCACAUGUAUUCAUAUAGUGACUCAGACGGGUUCAAACAAAACACUGUUGAUGAUCCAACUUAUAGUGUUGUGUCAUUUUGGUUGGUCGAACUUUUUUGUGUUCCAAAUUAGUUGCUAAACUUUCAUUUUUCUUUCAGUCUAGAAACUCGUCUUCCUUCAUCUGCUGAAUUAAAGGAAAUGAUGGCAAGAAGCUGGUGCUCCGCAAGGUCAUGGUAUUCAUUCUUGCAUUAAAACUUUUGGCUUUGAUUCUGUUAUUUUUUCUUUUUUCAUUUUUUUAUUCUUGCAUUUCAUUGGGUAUAUUAUGCCCAUGAAUCGUGAUCAUUAUAAAUCUUCCCAAACAUCAGAACUGUAGAUUUCUGCGACAUACAUUGCAACAGAAUUUAGAUUUCAUCUUGCUUUUGGGGCACUGAUUUCAUCUCAUAUUAAGCUUCAUGUUAACAGCUUCAAGAUUGAGACCGAAGGAUCAAAGGGCGCCAUGGAAUUUUAGGCUUGCAAUAUGCAAUUUAAGAUAGUGAUUCUUCAAGAUUGCUGGACGUUCAUAAUACCAUUACUUUUGGGUGCCUAAAUGAAGUGAUACAGCCAGUAUAUUGUAAAUUUUGAGGAUUUGGCCAGGAAGUGAUUUGAUGUUCAUGAAUGUAUUUAUUUUUUUUUAUAUUCCUGUUCAGAAUUUAAAUCGAAUUAUAGUGCUUUAGACUGUAUUUCCAAUGGUAUAUUUUUUUCUUUCUUUCUGUUUAGGAAAGCAAAAAUUGAUUUAGUUUACAAAAAGAGAUUCUCAUUUUGAUUAAAUUGAAAAAGUUCUUUUCUUUAUGUGCAAACGACCAUCUUGAAAAUUGGAAUGCUAACAAAAGGAUUACUUUUGGCAAUAUCAAAAGUAUUUCACAUUCAAUUGGUACGUUUAAAAAAAAAAAAAAAAAAAAAACUAGAAGUCAUCGUUUACACUCACAAUGUUAUGAUUCUAACAGGUCUAAAUACAUCAAAUUCUGUAACUAACAGUACAAUCUCAAGACCUUCAGUGCUCCCAAUUUUGUGUGUAAAAUAAGCAGACUUGGCGAAUGGAGUGGCUAUUCGAGGCCUUAACUCGUAUUCAUCUAAAGCGGCCUUAUCACUGGAUGGAAAUGGUUCUGAAGAAAGGGUGAACAUACUUAUCGGNNNNNNNNNNNNNNNNNNNNNNNNNNNNNNNNNNNNNNNNNNNNNNNNNNNNNNNNNNNNNNNNNNNGGGGAAUCCGAAUAAGCAAGGUUUAACCUUUCUUACCACUGUUGAGAAUUCUACGCAAAUCGAAAGCUUCACCACCUCCAUUCAUGGACCUUCUUUCCAAAAAGCAAGCAGUAAGCUGUCUUAGUAACCUCUCGAGACGUGAUUGCAAGCAACAUUUUGCAUCUUUCACAUUAGGAUUUGUUGCCAAGAUCAUUGCAUUAACUGCAUCAGCCACAAGCUCCCGUUGAGACUCUCUAAGAAGGUAUCCAACAGUGGACUUGUCAGGCUCUUCGUAUGCCAGCAAAGAAGAACAAUCCUUGCGAGAGAAGUAGGAGAUGUUAGAACCCAAAAAAAAAAAAAAAAAACACCAGCACACAAAAAACUAGAAAGGCGAUCGAAAUCCAAUAUAUAUCGGUAAGAGGACCACAUUAAGCACCGGGAGGAGAGUAAAAGGAACCUAAUAUCUAGCAAAAUCAUAUUCUGCCUUGUACCCAGUAUAUGCUUAUGGAGUCAUGUAGAGCAAGCUAAGACGGAAUUAGCUCGAGCCUUUUCUCUAGAUCGAUUGUUCAUAAAACACUGCCAAACUUUUUGUAGAGUAGUAUGAUGACUGAAUUAUAGUCAACAAACAGAUCUUCCAUAUUAUACCUUGACUAGGUCACCAAACUCUGAACUCCUCUUGAACUUUCCAAACUCAGUCCUUGCAUACCGCACAGCUUCCUCCAGCUUCCCAACCUGCAGUAAGAAGUUAAUCAGAGUGGCUGAAGAAAAUGCCAGCUUUAUGGGGAAAAAUUAGCCAAAGGCAAGUAAUUGACCAAAAAUAUAGGAACUGUGUGUUGUAUUCCGCAUACGGCAUACAUAAUUGGUGAAUAUAUGACCCAAUUCAAAAUUUCUGACAAACAGAUUUGAAACAAUAAUGGAACGUGGAACAAAUACAAUACUUGCAUAAGGCACGAAAAGAUAUACAUCUCAAAUGUCAUAGAGAACUGUCACUAUUUAUAGACCUCUGCCAACCUACCUGGACUAACUUAUUAAAAUACAUCUCUUCCUCCAUCGUGUUCAGUAUUACUUCAGAUUUCCAAAUACUUGUGGUUUAGAAUUAAAUUUCAAACAAUUCAAUAGAAAAAGCAUCCUAUAUAGUUAAAGGAAAAUAUUUCACUAAUGUUUGAAUCAGGAAAAUUAGUCAAGUCCAACUCCACGUUCAACAGGAAUGACAAGUUAUGACUUUACUCUGAAGUGUUAAAGCUUCGUGACAGAGGACCAAGUACUUGCGCUUUUAACAUCAUAAAGUUGAUUACAUGUGCAAACGGUACUUCAUACGGCCUCUUAUCUGUCAUCCACCUUUCUCAAACUGGUUCAUAUUUAACUUUUCUAACAGCAAGAAAUAAAAAAUUGACGCUUAUGGUAUUUUCAUGAUUCAAUAAGCUACACAAGGAAAAAAGACAUUUACCCUGAGAAGCUCAAUAAAUUUUUGAGAAUGUAGCAGAAAGCAGAUAGAAGACUUGUCAUCCUGCACAUGGCAAACAAAUCAUCAUGUCAAAUAUAAUAUUAUCAGCUCAACACCAAUCUAUUUAGAAAGAUUCAAGAUGUAAGUGGGCAUGGAGUUCAUCAAUAUUCCACAUCGUGAAUAUCAGUUACAACUAGAAAAAAGGUCAUCUUUAUGAGUAAAUCCAUUGAUAUACUUGUCACCAUUAAAAGCCUACGGACGCAUUCAGGCAAAUGAUUUUCGGCAAAUCUUUGAGAUAUCACAGGACACACAGAAUUAAUUAGGUAGAGGCAAUACACAAUUUGAUGAGUGCAUUCUAUAAAAUGUAUACAUGAAAACAGUCAAGAUUAUCCUAAAUUAAAACACAGAGAGAGCGACAGGGGGGGAGAGCGCUUAUUGUCAUCUACCUGCACAAUUUGAGGAUACCAUUCACCGAGUUUAGCAAAUGUUUCAUCAAUCUCGCCACGACUUAUUAGCUGCAUGAACAAAUAAAGGCAAAAAGGUAUUUAAUAUUUUCAGUAGAUAUUAUUAGUUUAAUUAAGUUGCUAUCAUAAUAGCAAGGACCAAUAAGCUGGAAUAGAUAACGCAGAUUGUGUUGAGUCAGGAGCCCAAAUGUGUCGGUGAGUAAAUAUGGAAAAGGAAAGUUUUUAAGAGUAAAAGAUUAAGAGAACUAAAAAUCAAGCUUAUCAAGCAUCAAGUACUUGCAUUGAUAUAAUUGAUGGUCAAAAUGAAUUCAUGGGGGGUGAAUUCGAUGCAACCAAAAAAAGUGUGCCGUUACUCAAAAUAUUGCUGCAAAGAACGCUGACACCUAAUUUAGAUAUAGAUGAAAAUUAUAUCCAUCCACCAAAUAUAAGGCUUGAUGAUGCCUACUUCACUCUGUAAAUUAUCCAAAUCAUUGUGCCAUUGAUACCCUUGAAAGUGGACACAUACAAGUCGAUCACAUGAUACACCCUAAACAUAAGGUGAUUAUAAAUCAUUACGGAAGGUUAAUUAUGGGCGUGAUUAUAGGAGCUAAAUUAUGGUAGUAAAUAAGGUUUCUUUUAUACCUAUACAAGUGUAACCUCGUAAUAUUUCAUUUCAUAGAAUAGAAUUAUGUUUUCCCACAGGUAUACAAAUAAGAGAGACGAAAAAAGGAAUGACUGGUUAGAAAUUUCAAAUUUAAUUGAAAUAGGUUGUCUCUGUUGGCAGGAUGAGAAAAACCAUAUAACUAAUAACUCAAGAAAACCCAGCUCAGUUAUGAAGAAAAAUAAUAAGAUUCAAUUCACACCUGACGAAGAGUCCUCCUCUGAUUCAUUGCAUACAUGUCUUCCUCGUUGAACCCAUUUUCUGGAAGGGAGGAAAUUGGAGAAGCAGUACUUUUACUAGCCAUAUCAAACAAUUCAAGCGUUCCUUCAUACCCAUAAUGCUGUAAAUAGGAACGAACUAAUCUGUAAAGUGCAAUGGAGAUUAUCAACAAAAACAUCAGUUGUACUUCUAUAUUUCUGUAAUCAAAUAAUGUCCAAUUAUAUAAUAUAUAAAUGUUAAUUUCUCAUAAUAAGAUGUUUGAGCAUAUAUUUAUAAAAUACCACUACAAUGAUCAUCAGAACCGAAGUGCAUGUACGAGGAAAGACUCAUAAACUUAGAAACUCAUUUCUAUAAUGUGAAUAUUAUCUAUGCUGCAUCCAAUAAGAAAGGCAUUUAUCUGUUUUCCAAGAAAAAAACCAGUAGCUUAUUUUAUACAAAAAUAAACUCAGCUGCAUUUUUCCUAGAAGAUCAGAUAAACUAAAGCCCCUAAUGAAUGUUCUGGUUCUAGAAUAUUAAUUGUGUGUUUUGAACAUUUCUCUAAUGACGCAAUUUGCACAAAAAGCAUAAAUGUCCAUUUAUCAGUAAAAAUAAAUCAUGGAUUUACAUUAUGAUUAGAUCCACAAAAAAUACCAAAAUAUUUUGAAGCAGUUACUUUUUUAAUCAUAAACCAUGUUUAUUUUAUUGUUUCGAAGUCCAUCAGAAGGAAAGGUGAGUAAAAAAUCAUGAACCCAUUUCCUACAAUUAAAAACAUGAUAGCGCCUGGUAGUCACGAAUUAUUGAGAUACUGCAAACAGUUCAGAAUUGCAAAGAUAACUUAGAUACAAGAGAAUAAAGGGAGUACUAAACAAUUUUUUGUGAUGUGUAGAAAAAAAAUUCUGUUUCUUACAUUAUUUAGAGCAAUAAGACAUAGUGUCAUCUAAACUAUUUUCCUUGUAGCCUACAUUGCCAAAUAAAUAGGGAAGAUAUGAAAAUUAGCAAACUCUCACAGUGAAGUUAGAGGCCAUUAGCACUUAGGCUGCUGUUUGACAAAGGUAGAAUAUUAUUAAUAGAAGGGACAGUAAGGACUACUCCAAGCCUCCAAUAUAAUGCCAAGAACUUGUACAUUAAAUGGAAGCCUCAGCUCAUAAUAUAUCAGGCACCUUGAGCCCCCAAAUAUCAGAAUUUUCUUGUUAUGAAGCUUAAAAAUAGCAAUGUGUACUUACCCAUGACUAGCAGACAGUGUCAAUGAAAUACUGUCAAUUUCAUAUUGCUGUUUUGCUCUUUGCUCUGCCUCAUAUGCCUGAAUUAUAAUAGACAUCAGAUACAAAAGUUUGAAUAUCAUAAUUUAUCAGUUUGUUAUCAAGUUCCUCAAUAUUCCAAUUUUGUUUAACGUAGAUUACUGAAAGGCAAGUUGAUGCAUGCAAAAGAGCAACAAAAUUAUAUUUACAAACCAAAAUUCCUAAAACAGAAAUAAAUAUGUAGCAAUUUAUUUUGGUGUAUUCAGUUCAAAUGACAAAAUAUUCACAUCAGCUUAAAGUAUGUAUUCUAAGUGUUAUCAAUCUACCAGUUAUAUUAAGCCCCUGUUUGAGCUCCAUUCUUUAAAAUUCAUCGUCUCCAAACUCAUUCUCAAUUGCACAUUCUCCCAAUAAAAUAAUUUAGCACGUAAACCCACAAACUUUUUCCAUUUUUUAAUCACACAUUCUCCCAAAAAUAAAUAAAUAAAUAAAGUUUUAAAAAAUCUAUUCUCAAAAUAUGGAGCUCAAACAUUGGCUAAGUAAAACUAUAAAAGACAUAGAAAAAUAUGAGGGUGUGUUAAUGCAACCCAUUUAGUCAUUUACAAUCGAAAUUAAGAAAAGAAUAAAAAAGGAACAAAAUUCCAUAUUAAGUGAAAAUCUUAAAAAUGAAAUUUUUAUUAUGCCAAAUCUUCACUAGUUAUUUGCUUAGUAUUCCCAGUUCCAAGGAACUGAUUGUUCAAAAAUAAGUAUAUCUAGCAUAUGAGCUUAAUAAAGGCAAGAAUUAACAAAAAGUUGCAACAAACUUGUUGUUCAAUGGAGAAAGGAAUUGGAGACAAAGAAGGAAAAUCUUACCUUAAUAUCAAAAACGAAUGGAUCCUUUCCAAAGUUGACAGUAACCCUGCCACGUGUCAAUGCACAAUUUAAGAAGUUAGAUACAUCUUAAUUAUUAAAUUUUGGGAAAGUAUUAGCACUGAAAGGGAAUGGAGAAGUAGCAUGUUCAUGCAGCAUGCACUUGUUAGUGCAUGAAGCAUAGCAUAUGGAAAUCACAAAGUAGAGCCUCAAAGACGUUAAAAAUUACCCACAACUUUUUUCUGGUUGUUGCACAUUAAGGAAAAAUCCAACAAUAUUUACAGAAAGAACUCAGUAAACUGAGAAGAAGGCUUCAAUAACAAUUUCUUCAGGACAUCUACUAUGGAAGCCAUUUACAUACUUAGGAGAAUGAUAAACAAGUCAGAGGAAAGAAAAAGAUACAUGGGGAUUGUGAUUAUCUAGUUAAAAUAAAUAAAUAAAUAACGCUAAGAAGGUGUCCAUAUAAGUGCUGUGCUUGGUGCUAAUUAGUCAAGUAGGAAAUGAAAUUUUAUUAGAUAUAUGAAUAUUAUUAAAAGACGCGUACUCACAACUCUGAGAUGUGGUGAUAAUAGUAGAGGUUGCAUCAACAUUGUCUCAAGUCAUAAUUUUUACUUCAGUCAAAACAGGCUGAGAAGAUAUUUCCAAGAUGAGAUUCUUUUGAAUAGAUGGACUAGGGGGGUGUUAAAACAUUAGAACUUCGGAAGAGUAUUGUUGAAAUCUGGGGUUUUAGAUUAAAAAUAACUAAAAUGGAGUACAUCAAAUGCCCUUUCGGUAAUAAUAGGAACAUGUACAGUGGUGUAGUCAAGACAACUUACAAAAGAUCAUCUUCUAAUAUGAUAGAUAUUUAAGUUCAACUAUUGACAAGGGAGAAAGAUUUGAAGAGGAUGAAAUGCAUAGAAUCAGAGAAGGCCGACUGAAAGCUUGAAUAAAGUGGAGCACUGGUGCAGGGAUAAUCCCAAAUGUAAUAAGCAGGUUCAGAAGGAGCAGUAUUGCACGGCACGAAUAGGAAAUCUCAAUAAAGUUAAAAUGCAAGUUCUACGAACCAGCUGUGUCAGAAUAUGAAUGUUUGGUUGUCAAAGGGAAAAAAGGUCAAUAAGAUGAAAGUAGUCAGAAUGGGAAUGUUAAGUUGAAUUUAUGAUUAUACUAGAAUGCAAAAGAUAAAUCUCAUACACGAGUGUGGGAUCCUAAUAGACUACGUAACAAGGAGAGGUAGACAAGGAUUAACAUGACGUGGUGUCAAGGACCGCAGCUUUACUUAGCCCCUUGACACUAUCGCAGCCGCAGUUUGCCCAACUUCGGCCGCACAUUGUAAAUAUUACUUUAAGUUUGAGUUGUAAUUUUCGUUUCAUUGUAAUAGUUAUUUUAAUUGUAAAAUAGCUCUGAUAUUGGUAAAAGAUUAGUAUGAUUCCUCGUCUUUUAAACGUCUACUCCCGUCACUUGGGUUUUUGUUCAGAAUGCUAUUAUAGGGGGUAUUAGUCAUUCAAAAAUCUUUCAAGCUCACUGGUGUCCGUCCCCUGCACCAGCAUUUGUAAUUUUCUGCUUUCAUCAAUUGUAAUGUUCAGUUUUCAGCAAUCAAUGUUCAAUUUACUUUCAAUGUAUUCAAAUUCUCAAUUGCAAGCUUUCUACAAAAUUGCAAUCAAAUUUUCUAUUGUCCCGACGCGACCGAGAAAAGGCGAAAGGUAGUCUAGCGGAGCAGACUACUGCCGCACGGUGUCCCUUUCUAUGCCAAGAAGAAAGGCACCCCGUGAAAGUUGGUAUUAGAGCUGCGGCUUAAGACCCUCGAUAAGAAAGCUAUGGAUCCAAUUACAUCACACACCACUGAAGUGGUAGAGCCUCAAAAGAAGGGUACUACGAAACAGCGCGUGGAUGCGCUUGAUGAGACAGCUACUAGGUUGUGCUAUGCUGUGGAAGGUCUCGAGAAAAAAGUCGAGAUGGCCGAAUCUGAGAUUCAUGGAUUACACAUCCAAUUGGAUGAAAGCCAAAGAGCUUGCGCAGCAAUGACGGAAGCUGCUGCAAUCAUUCCUGAUCUGCAGGAUGAAAUGGAAGCGUUGAGAGCUCAAUUGCGAGUACUCCAACGUGCGGUGGGCAAUGGGCAAGCUCCCGCACACGAGUAUGCUCCUAGACUCAGAAUUCCUGAACCGUGUACCUAUGGAGGGGCACGUGAUGCAAAAGAAGUCGAAAACUUCUUGUUUGAUAUGGAACAGUACUUUCUAGCAGCUUCGAUCGAAGAUGAAGCUAGAAAGGUAACCACAGCUACCAUGUAUUUGGGUGGAGAUGCAAAAUUAUGGUGGCGAACCAAAUAUGCAGACAUUCAGGCCCACAGGAUUCGAAUUGAUUCUUGGGAUCUCCUCAAGGAAGCGAUCAGAUCGCAGUUUUUUCCGGAAAAUGUUGAGUAUCAGGCUCGACGGGCUCUUCGAGACCUGAAACACACGAACUCUAUCAGGGAGUAUGAGAAAUCCUUCUCAGGGCAUAUGCUGAAUAUUCGAGAUAUGUCAGAAAAUNNNNNNNNNNNNNNNNNNNNNNNNNNNNNNNNNNNNNNNNNNNNNNNNNNNNNNNNNNNNNNNNNNNNNNNNNNNNNNNNNNNNNNNNNNNNNNNNNNNNNNNNNNNNNNNNNNNNNNNNNNNNNNNNNNNNNNNNNNNNNNNNNNNNNNNNNNNNNNNNNNNNNNNNNNNNNNNNNNNNNNNNNNNNNNNNNNNNNNNNNNNNNNNNNNNNNNNNNNNNNNNNNNNNNNNNNNNNNNNNNNNNNNNNNNNNNNNNNNNNNNNNNNNNNNNNNNNNNNNNNNNNNNNNNNNNNNNNNNNNNNNNNNNNNNNNNNNNNNNNNNNNNNNNNNNNNNNNNNNNNNNNNNNNNNNNNNNNNNNNNNNNNNNNNNNNNNNNNNNNNNNNNNNNNNNNNNNNNNNNNNNNNNNNNNNNNNNNNNNNNNNNNNNNNNNNNNNNNNNNNNNNNNNNNNNNNNNNNNNNNNNNNNNNNNNNNNNNNNNNNNNNNNNNNNNNNNNNNNNNNNNNNNNNNNNNNNNNNNNNNNNNNNNNNNNNNNNNNNNNNNNNNNNNNNNNNNNNNNNNNNNNNNNNNNNNNNNNNNNNNNNNNNNNNNNNNNNNNNNNNNNNNNNNNNNNNNNNNNNNNNNNNNNNNNNNNNNNNNNNNNNNNNNNNNNNNNNNNNNNNNNNNNNNNNNNNNNNNNNNNNNNNNNNNNNNNNNNNNNNNNNNNNNNNNNNNGUGAAAGUUGGUAUCAGAGCUGCGGCUCACGACCCUCGAUAAGAAAGUUAUGGAUCCAAUUACAUCACACACCAUUGAAGUGGUAGAGCCUCAAAAGAAGAGUACUACGAAACAGCGUGUGGAUACGCUUGAUGAGACAACUACUAGGUUGUGCUAUGCUGUGGAAGGUCUCGAGGAAAAAGUCGAGAUGGCCGAAUCUGAGAUUCGUGGAUUACACAUCCAAUUGGAUGAAAGCCAAAGAGCUUGCGCAGUAAUGACGGAAGCUGCUGCAAUCAUUCCUGAUCUGCAGGAUGAAAUGGAAGCGUUGAGAGCUCAAUUGCGAGUACUCCAACGUGCGGUGGGCAAUGGGCAAGCUUCCGUACCCGAGUAUGCUCCUAGGCUCAGAAUUCCUGAAUCGUGUACCUACGGAGGGGCAUGUGAUGCGAAAGAAGUCGAAAUCUUCUUGUUUGAUAUGGAACAGUACUUUCUAGCAGCUUCGAUCGAAGACGAAGCUAGAAAGGUAACCACAGCUAUCAUGUAUCUGGGUGGAGAUGCAAAUGGCGAACUAAAUAUUCUGACAUUCAAGCCCACAAGAUUCGAAUUGAUUCUUGGGAUCUCCUCAAGGAAGCGAUCAGAUCGCAGUUUUUUCCGGAAAAUGUUGAGUAUCAGGCUCGACGGGCUCUUCGAGACCUGAAACACACGAACUCUAUCAGGGAGUAUGUGAAAUCCUUCUCAGGGCAUAUGCUGAAUAUUCGAGAUAUGUCAGAAAAGGACAAGCUCUUCACCUUUAUGGAAGGGUUGAAAUCGUGGACACGCNNNNNNNNNNNNNNNNNNNNNNNNNNNNNNNNNNNNNNNNNNNNNNNNNNNNNNNNNNNNNNNNNNNNNNNNNNNNNNNNNNNNNNNNNNNNNNNNNNNNNNNNNNNNNNNNNNNNNNNNNNNNNNNNNNNNNNNNNNNNNNNNNNNNNNNNNNNNNNNNNNNNNNNNNNNNNNNNNNNNNNNNNNNNNNNNNNNNNNNNNNNNNNNNNNNNNNNNNNNNNNNNNNNNNNNNNNNNNNNNNNNNNNNNNNNNNNNNNNNNNNNNNNNNNNNNNNNNNNNNNNNNNNNNNNNNNNNNNNNNNNNNNNNNNNNNNNNNNNNNNNNNNNNNNNNNNNNNNNNNNNNNNNNNNNNNNNNNNNNNNNNNNNNNNNNNNNNNNNNNNNNNNNNNNNNNNNNNNNNNNNNNNNNNNNNNNNNNNNNNNNNNNNNNNNNNNNNNNNNNNNNNNNNNNNNNNNNNNNNNNNNNNNNNNNNNNNNNNNNNNNNNNNNNNNNNNNNNNNNNNNNNNNNNNNNNNNNNNNNNNNNNNNNNNNNNNNNNNNNNNNNNNNNNNNNNNNNNNNNNNNNNNNNNNNNNNNNNNNNNNNNNNNNNNNNNNNNNNNNNNNNNNNNNNNNNNNNNNNNNNNNNNNNNNNNNNNNNNNNNNNNNNNNNNNNNNNNNNNNNNNNNNNNNNNNNNNNNNNNNNNNNNNNNNNNNNNNNNNNNNNNNNNNNNNNNNNNNNNNNNNNNNNNNNNNNNNNNNNNNNNNNNNNNNNNNNNNNNNNNNNNNNNNNNNNNNNNNNNNNNNNNNNNNNNNNNNNNNNNNNNNNNNNNNNNNNNNNNNNNNNNNNNNNNNNNNNNNNNNNNNNNNNNNNNNNNNNNNNNNNNNNNNNNNNNNNNNNNNNNNNNNNNNNNNNNNNNNNNNNNNNNNNNNNNNNNNNNNNNNNNNNNNNNNNNNNNNNNNNNNNNNNNNNNNNNNNNNNNNNNNNNNNNNNNNNNNNNNNNNNNNNNNNNNNNNNNNNNNNNNNNNNNNNNNNNNNNNNNNNNNNNNNNNNNNNNNNNNAACCAAAACUGUCGAGCAAACAGGCUCGUUGGCAGGAAUUCCUUUCGGAGUUCAAUUUUAUGUUAGAGUAUCGUCCCGGCUCUAGUAAUCAUGUUGCCGAUGCUCUUAGUCGACGGGCUGAUUUAGCUACCAUCUGCUCUGUAGCUGCUCUUGCAGGGAGCGCAGUCUCCACGAACACUAGAGACCAAAUUCGGGCACUUAUGGAGAAGGACCCGGCUACCCAAUAUUUGGUCGACCUUAUCAAGCAGGGUAAAACUCGACAGUUUUGGCUAGAUGGAAAACUAGUGAAGACAAAGGGAAACCGCCUAUAUGUUCCUAAGGAUGGAGAUCUGAGGAAAUCACUAAUCACGGAAUGCCAUGACACAAUUUGGGCGGGGCAUCCUGGAGAGGAACGCACUUGUGCACUACUACAACGUGCAUACUACUGGCCUCAAAUGCGGGACGACAUUGCAACAUAUGUAAAAACUUGUCUU